CACCAAAUCCACGGUUUAAUAACGAACCAUGUUAACUUACCAUAACAACAACUCAAUUCCUAUCGAAUUCCUUCCUAUCUAAUUCCUUCCUAUCGAAUUCCUAUAGUAAAAUUCCUAUAGGAUAGAACGUACACAGGGUGUACACAUUAUAUAUGAAUAUGAAUGAAACAUAUUCAUUGACUUAAGCAUACUCCUUUUUUUAUUUAAUGAGUUGAUAUUAAUUGAAUAUCUUUUUUUUAGAUUUUUGCAAAGGUUUCAUUUACGCCUAAUCCAUAUCGAGUAGACCCUGUCGUUGUGAGAAUUCUUAAUUCAUGAGUUUUAGGGAGGGACUUAUGUCACCACGAGUGCCACCAGUUUAUAACAUCAAUCGCCUUUCACAUGAUUUAAGUGAAAGACGUUCUAUUCUAAAAUAUUAUGUUAGUGAUCAAGAUGCAGUUUGAAGAGCAUAUAUUAUUAAAGGUCCAUUCAAACCUUUUGCACGUGAUUUUUCUAAAAGAAAGAUAUUAGAUAGGGAUCGGGGAUUCAAGUAUUGUUAGAUGUACAAUAAUGAUUGAAUUGAGUAUAGUAUUAAGAAAGAUGUUGUGCUCUGCUUCAUAUGUUAUUUGUUCAAGAAGGGUAUUGGGCCAGACACAUUUACUGUUGAUGGGUGGAAUAAUUGGAAUAUAGGAAAGAAAGCACUUCACAAACAUAUGGGUUCUAAGGCACAUAUUGCAGCUCAAGUGAGAUACAUUGGCUUUACAAAUACCAAGGCAACAAUUGAUUAUAAUAUUGAGAAGUGGAGUGACGAGAAUCUUCGUCUUUAUACGAAAAGUUACUUAGGUGUAUCAAGUUUCUUCUGCAUGUUCGUGUUUCGUGGACAUGAUGAAUGCGAAGAAUCUAGCAACAGAGGGAACUUCAUUGAACUUUUGAAAUUUCUUGUCAGAAAUAGUGAAGAACUGAACCAGUAUAUUUUGACAACCAGUGGCGGAGGGAAGGGGGGCUGAGGGGGGCCUGGCACCCCCCAACCUUCCCAUAACUCCCUUAAUACACCACAUAGAUUAGAUGUUUAAUUAUCUAAUUAGCUAGUUAAUGAUAUUAUCUGUACUAAGAUUUUUAUUUUUAUUUCAUAUUAAUCUCUAAUAGUUUCUUAUACAAAUAGAAUCUAGAUCUUUCUAAUAUUUUCUUCAUAUCUUUUAUUUUUAUUAUUGCCUAUCAAACAUCAGUUUGUCCCCUACCACACACUUUAAUUAGCUAGUUAAUUGAAAAUCAGCGUUUUUCUUGUUUAAUCCUUCUGAUUGAUCUCCAACAAUGGGAUCUAUAUUAUUUAGCAUUAGUCUUGCUAUUAUCUUUCUUAUCUCCUAUGCUUCUAUCAAUAUUCGUCUAAACUCUAAACGGUCAUUUAGCCCGUUGUACUCAACUUUUAAACACUAACAGUGGUAUGGUGUUUCUGUUUAGCCUUCUAUUUAAAUAACUGUUUUACCUGUUUAAGUGAUCGUUUUGUCUAAGACUAAAUGAUAUGUAACUGAUUGUUUGUCAUUUGAUGUUAGGAUCUAGUACUAAUUAAUUUUGCCCCCAUUUAACUACUUGUUUUUAUUGUGAUUCUUUUCCUGGGCAAAGAAAUAGAAUGAUCAGGUGAAGGUUAGAGGCUUGAGACUAGUUAAAUUUUUCUUUAAUUUUUUUAGUUUUUCUCCUUUUUUUGCAUCGCAAUACAAACGUUUAUUUUGGUGCUAUGUACACCUUUGUCAUGUAAUAUUUUGACACACAUGAUUGUUCUUGGUUUGCACGGCCCCCCUAUGUUCAAAUCCUGGCUCCGCCCCUGUUGACAACAGUGCUUUAACUGUAAGAGGAUGUUAGAAGGGACACACCAGAGCCCAGAAUGACAAUGUUGACAUCGCCAGCAGUAGUUGUAGCUAGUGUCCUCCCUGUAGCACAAUAACAAUACCUGUGGAUGGAUGUGCUUGAUUUUUUUAAUGAUAUCUUGAGAGACCUGAGCGCCUGGUGUGCGGCGGCUAAACUGAAAUCCAAACAGCUAGAGGAAGGAGAUACAGACACAAAAAUCAAAAGUUGCAGAAGGAAACUGAACUGAACUUGCUCAAACUUGUGGAUUUGCUACAAGAAAGAUGAUCUUCCAGAAUUGUACCCCUUAAAGUACAGUGAUUUUAUAAAAAAAUCUUGAGGCUAGCAAAUUUUCAUGCUGCAAGUGAAUUUCAAUUCAGUACAUUUCCAACAAAAUUGUAUCCCUCAAAGGCUCACAUCACUUCGAGAUGACCAACCGAAACAGUCUCAGACCAAUAAGAAAUUGCAGGUUUAAUGCAGUGAUUGCUACUGCCUAAUAGUAGUAGUAGUGCUAAAAACAAAGCUUUUGAUGCAAGGAGAUUUGGUCUGCUAUCUGCAUUGUUGGAUUCACUGUCACAAGCCAUCGUGUUGUCCACUUCAAUUAAAAAAAAUGCAGAUUCAGAAUUUCAGAUCAAUACAAAAUGCAGGUGCUGAAACAAUACUAUCUAUCCAGGAUUCAGAAGCGCAUGAUUCACACGAAAUCAGGAGCACUUAACAAGCGGUAAUAAAUCACUACCAAAAUAAAACUCUUACAUCCUAUCCCACAUGAGAACCAAGUAACAAAGCAUAGACUUUCUGAACAAAAGAACAGAGAGACAGGUAAGGGGAGGGGAGCAAGGGACGGACAUGGACCGGUUCCAGAGACCGGUGUAGGGGUCACAAACGUCGCGUCGCGUGUGGCUUGGCGAGGUCGUCCCACGGCGGACGAGACGAGCUUGGAGCUGGGCAUCGUAGAAGCCGGGUUCCGCGGCGACAUAGUCCUCCUCUACCUGCUGCACACGAGUGCGUCUUGAUCGUCGCAGGCAUCGCGUUGCGUGUGACUUGGCAAGGUCGUCCGGUGGCGGGCGAGACGAGCUUGGAGUUGGGCAUCGUAGAAUCCGGGUUCCGUGGUGACCUCCACCUAUUGUGCCAUGGGCAGAUGACCGGGGCAGGGCCGUGCAACGCCGAAGUAGGGCUUUACGUUGCCGGAUCUACACGUCGCCGAGGCGAAUCCGGAGCCAAGCUCGCUGCGCGGCGUGGAGGUUGUCACCGGAAGCCGACCUCGACACAAGCAUGGCAGGGGGCUGCGGUUCCUUGUGGAGAGGGGAGGCUGCAUGGGAGGAAUUGUUUUUGACCGCAGGUUGACCAGGGGAGUCUGGCGUUUUUUUCCCAAGCGACGUAAUUACGGAGGCAGGCCGAUUAGUUAGUGGAGACGAUAACAUUUGGCUCUUUUUAGUUGUAGAGAUACGUAUAUAUACUCGAUCUCUACACGGAAUUGCACCGGCGUACCCUGUAGCUCCACCACUGGUUGUAGGUAACUUGCUUAUCUUACUUGUCCUAAACUUUCAUGAUUUUAGGACAACAGGUCCUAGCUAAGAGUUAUAGCAUAUCUGAGUACGGGCACAUACAAACUGACUAAGGAUGCGGAUAGAGUGAGAAAUAUCCCAACAAGUUGACGAAAGCAACUAGGAUCAUCAAGAGGCUCACCGUCACAAAUUCACACUUCAAGGUUUUUACCCUAAUCUGUUGUGAGAGGUAGGUGUUAUGGCCAUGGCUAAAUGGUGGUUGCGAGUAUGUGUAAAUACUUGUGUUAAUAGUGAGUUCGUGUUGCUAUAACAAGUUAUUGUUGCCACCAUUCUAAUGAUGGUUUUGCGAUUAGUUUUCAAUAUGACCACGAACUAAUUGUGUUGCCAUGCUAUAUUGCACCGAAAAAAAUGAUCCGUUGCAUCACAAGGUUCUAUUUCUACCGAUUACAUAUGUUGCAAUGUUGGAUCUCAUUGCAAGUAUUAGUUGUAUUGCCACACAAGUUUGUUCGUGGGCCUUACAUAGUCCUACACAUGAACCAAAUGCAAAAAGGGGUUAGGCUAAAUAACCAACCACCAAGCAGACGAGGCGCCGUCGUGUAACCUUGCUCCAGCAUCUUCCACACCCGCCUGAUAAACGCCGCCGCCGCCAACCAACGCAUGAUGUUGCCCAACAGUGUUGCCGCCCCUGAGAAACACAUACGUUACCACCGCCCUAAUACAUACGCUGCCAUAUCACGCCCAACCAGCACCAUUCUGUAGUACAGUAGUAGUGUGCUGCGGGCUACAAGUAUAUAUAAUCUGUCCUUGAGCGUGCGAUUCCAAGUUUAUUAGUCUCUUAAUUAUUUGUAAUCGUCAGCCAUUUGAAUAUUAUGAGACUAUUUCAACAGCUCACGUGUGCCUUCAUAAGUACAAGGUGCAUAAGCAGUUGUGAGAGGGUGAGAAGCCAGCUAUAACCAUUGUGCAAAGAUGUGGAUUCCAGUCACAUGGCAUAAUUGUUUUGGAAAACAAGAGUUCACCCAGAAACAGAGUUGAGGAGCAUAUAUGAUGCGACACUACAGGAAACGGGAGCUUUGCCGAGGGCCCAGCUUUGCCGAGAGCCGGCCCUCGGCAAAGACAGCCUUUGCCUACAGCCAAAAGGGACCCUCGGCAAAGAUUAUUUACCGAUAGCUCAGCUCUCGGCAAAGUCAGGCUUUCGGCAAAGGAAAGCUUUGCCGAGAGCUUAACCUCGGCAAAGACAAGCUCUCGGCAAAGGAGCCGCAGAGGGGACGACUUCCGUUGUCGUCAUCUUUGCCGAUAGCGACGCCGUUAGGCUCUCGGCAAAGAAUAACCUUUGCCGAGCGCUGCCAUGCUGGCUCUCGGCAAAGAGCCCCUUUGCCGAGAGCCAGCACUGACCCUCGGCAAAGAGGAAUGGUAUUUUUUUGUGUUUUGGACCCAAUCUUUUUCUUUAACCCUUGCAUAUUGUAUACAAGCAUAUGUUCAAAUUUGAUAGCUUUUUCUAACAUUUUGCUAUAUUUUAUCAAUUAAAUUAUUUUCUUUGUAUUUUUCUCGAAAAAGUAAAUUUGAAUUGUAGGAACAUGAAGUAAUAAAAUAUAGCCAUUCAAAAAAUGAUAUUCAUGUUUGAGAGUGCAUUUUAAGGUUGUAUCCAUAAACUCACCCAAAACUUUGAAUUUCUUGUAUACAAAACAUGAUCAUCCAUGUGUCGUAAAAGUGUUUUUUAAUUAUAUAAUUUCCAAAUGAAGCCCAAAAAUCAUGAAACUUGGCGACAUGUUGUGUUAUCGCAUGUGUAGGGUGUGAUAAAAAAUUCAUAAGGUUUAAAGAAAGUUACGACACCGGAUGUCUAAAUCCUAGACAUCUCCACAUGUGAUAACAUUUGAUCACAUGCGGAGAUGCUUGUGUUUUAGACAUCUAAUGUCGCAGCUUGCUCGAAAACUUAUGAUUUUUUUACCACAACCUCCACAUGCGAUAACACGAUACGUCACCAAAUUUCGUGAUUUUUUGACUUCAUUUGAAAUUUAUAUAAAUAAAAAUCACUUUUUCCUCACAUUCCUUGACAUGUUACCUCAGCGAGAGAGUUGAGUUUUCAUGUGUGGUUGUGGAUAUGGCCUCAACGUACAUCAAAUAUCAUGACUAUCAUUUUUCGAAUCACUGAGUUCUAAUAUUCCAUGUACUUGCAGUUAAAAUUUGAAUUAUGCGAAAAAAUUUAAAGAAACAAAACUAAUUAGUUAAAUAUAGCAAAAAAGUGAAAUUAAUGCCAAAUUUUGAGAUGUAUUUAGAAAUUUGGUCACAAGGACAGAAAAAAAAACUCAGCUCUAAAUUAAAAAGAAUAAAAAAAGGCAACAAUUCUUUGCCGAUAGCCAUCCGACCGGCCCUCGGCAAAGAGUCUUUGCCGAUAGCCGCACUGGUCAGCCCUCGGCAAAGGUUCUUUGCCGAGAGCCAGUCUCUGAGCUCUCGGCAAAGGGUGUUUUCUAAAAAAACAAAAUCCUCCUUGUAUCCCCACCCCCGCGCUGGCCAGCCCCCAAACCCCCAAACCCGCCGCCGCCCGCGCCCCACCCCCGCGCCAGGACCCCGUGCGCCGCCGCCCGCGUCCACCCCCGCCCCUGGACGCCGUCUGCCGCCGCCCGCGCCCACCCCCGCCCCUGGACGCCGUCCGCCGCCGCCCGCGCCCACCCCCGCCCCUGGACGUCGUCCGCUGCCGCCCGCGCCCCACCCCCGCCCCUAGACCCCGUACGCCGCCGCCCGGGCCCACCCCCGCCGUUGGACGCCGUCUGCCGGCGCUGGCCGGCACCGCGCGCCCCUGGCCCGCCCCUCCCCUGCACACGCGCCCGCCGCACGCGCGCCCGCCUCAGCCUGCACGCGCGCCGCCCUUGCUCCGGCCUCUCGGCCUCUCGUCGCCUUCUUCCUGGCCGCGCCGCCCUUGCUCCGGUCUCCCCCUUAGCCGGCGAAGAGCGACAGGUACGCGUUCGUCCCUUCCUUCCCUUCACUUCCCUCUUUGCGAAAUCGAGCACCCGAAACCCUAAGUAAGCUAUUUGUAUUCGGAUUCGGAUCUGACCCCAAAUUUCAUGGGUAUAAAUGUGUAUUAUUACCUACCCCACUAACUUCGAUUUCUGGCAAAAACCAAUUAUCGGAUAUAAACCAUGCCCUAUAAUGGAUGCGCCCAUGACUGUGCUGCACGUUUCAGUUGAUUUUUUUUUUUGUUUUUUAGAAGGUUUUUGGGUUGCGAAAUUUCAGAGCAUAGUCUCCUCACUAAGGUCCUCCGGUUUACUCUGAAUUGUAGUGUGGUUUUAGUGGUUUCAGUGAGAAUGUUAUAUAGACUGUACAUUCUGCUAAAUGCGUGAUUGAUUGUUGUAAUCAAUUUGUAAGAACUAGCAAUUAUGAUGGAAAAUUAUCUUCUAAAUAUAUAUCAUGCCCCUCGAACUCCAAAAGAAAUGCACGAAAACUGUUAGUCCAAUGCAUAUAUUCUGUUUUUUUAAUCAUUGUGUCCGGUGUUUGGCACAAUCGAUCUUAAAUUUGCUUGGAUGUGUGGCCUUCGUGCCAUAUAUGUGCUGUUGGCCAUCGAGUCGGCUUUUUUGCAGGUUUUGGAAACCUCCCCGUGCAGGGGAGGUUCUGCCGAAAUUUUGUACUUAUAGUGUUGUUUUUCUUGUUUUGCAGAGCAGGACCUGUCGGAGGGGACUCGGAGCACCUUGGCACAGCACCACCUCGCCACUGCACCGUCUCGCCACUGCGCCAGUAGCCUUUCUUCACCGCCACCUUAGGUAUAAUUGACCUCCCUCCCUUAUCGUUGUCAUACGUAGGUCGCGUAACCCAGUUAGGUGUCUCCCGUCCGAAAGAGAUACGGCCGUUGGUAUGCGUGUCUGUGCAUAUUCGUCGGCCGUAUCUGUUUUGGAUUGUCCAUAUUUUUUGGACAGCCUGUGGAUGCGUAGAUGGUUAGCUUCCAUGUUUUGCUCCCGUCCGAGUCGGAGUUUCGGCAGCACCUCCCCGUUGUUCUCCGGAUACACACUCUCCUUGCUAGGACGUGUAUCGGGAGAACAGCUGGGAGGUGCUGCCGAAAUUCUGACUCGGACGGGAGUAGAACAUGGAAGCUAACCCGUCUACGCAUCCACGGGUGGGAUUAGGACAUAUCCUUCACCUAUUAGAAGGUAGGAACGUCAUGUAGAUGCAAUUGUUGGUUUUAUUACUCGCUUACACAUGUAUAUGACAGAGGAUGGCUAACCGUGACUGGAUGUACACGGGCUUUGCAAGUAAGAGUGAUGAAUGGAUUAGGGGGGUGGAACAUUUCGUGAAUGAAGCAUUUGACCCGGCUGUUGCUAAAGGGUCAAAACGGAUGUUGUGUCCCUGCAGUGACUGUAAGAACUCAAAAAGAAAACUGCCCAGAGAGAUGUGGAAAGAUAUUCACAAGAAUGGAUUCAUGCCAAACUAUACCCGCUGGACCUUGCAUGGUGAGCGUGAUCAUAUGACAGCGAAGGAUGUGAGAGCACGCCUCGAGUAUUUUGAUGAAGAUGCCGGGGUGGCCGACAUGAUGGUAGACAUCAACGAGGCAUGUGACAAUGAAGGAUCGGUGGAGGAGGAUCCAGAGGAAACUGCAAAGGCGUUCUACUUGAUGAUGGAUUCGGCACAAAAGCCCCUUCACGAGAAUACAACAAUGUCGCAACUCGAUGGCAUUGGACGCCUUUUAGCGUUGAAGUCACAGUUGAGCUUGAGCCGAGAUGGCUUCGAUCUCGUGUUGAAAGUUUUGGGCACAAUGCUUCCAGAGGGUCACACGCUGCCGAAGAACACUUAUGAGUCACAGAAACUCCUUGGUGCACUUAAAAUGCCGUAUGAGUCUAUCCAUUCUUGUCCUAAAGGGUGCGUCCUAUUUAGGGGAGACGACCUUAAGGAAGCAACACACUGUCCAAAGUGCAGAGCCUCUAGGUAUGUGGAGGUAGAGGGUAGUGAUGGCAACAAGAAACAGUCUAAGAUCCCCAAGAAGGUCCUACGGUAUCUUCCUGUCCUACCGAGGCUCCAACGGAUGUACAUGACAGAGGAGUCCGCAAAACAGAUGACAUGGCACAAGAAAGGCAAGAGAUAUAGUGACAAGACGGUACAUCCAUCGGAUGGUGAAGCAUGGAAGUACUUCGAUGAGCAGCAUCCUAGCAAAGCGUCGGAGGCUCGGAAUGUACGUGUAGCCUUUGCAACAGAUGGGUUCAACCCGUAUGGAAUGAUGGCGGCCCCGUACACAUGCUGGCCUGUGUUCGUGAUCCCCCUCAAUCUCCCCCCCGGCGUCAUGUUCGAUCCCAAGAACGUGUUAUUGUCGCUGAUAAUACCUGGACACUCGGGCAGCAAUAUGGGUGUUUUCAUGCAGCCACUGUGGGACGAAUUGCAACAUGCUUGGGAAAAGGGGGUACGAACUUACGACCGAGCUACAAAGCAGAACUUCACAAUGCACGUGUGGUACCAGUAUUCAAUGCAUGACUUCCUAGCGUAUGGCAUAUUAAGCGGGUGGUGUGUUCAUGGGAAGUUCCCUUGCCCAGUAUGCAAGGCCUCUGUGAUGUUCACCUGGCUGACCAAGGGUGGCAAGUAUUCUUCGUUUGACAAGCAUCGUCAAUUUCUAGAUAACGACCAUGAGUUCAGACGAGACAUCAAGCACUUCAUGAAAGGUGUUGAAGUCACCGACAACAUUCCUCAGAUUAUGAGCGGUGCUCAGGUCCUUGUCGAGUUAGAGGCCCUCGAAAUUGAUGACAAAGUUGGUUUUAAGAAGUAUGGUGUAGAGCACAUGUGGACUCAUAUAUCGAGCUUGACUAGGCUUCCCUACUUCAAGGACCUUCUUCUUCCACACAACAUCGAUGUAAUGCACACAGAAAAGAAUGUCGCUGAGGCACUCUGGGCAACACUCAUGGACAUAAAGGAAAAGUCAAAGGACAACGUAAAGGCUAGACUAGACAUGGAACAGAUGUGCGAUAAACCAAAGCUAGUGAUGAAGACCCCUGCUCCCGGCAAGAAUUGGAGAAGAGGCCCAGCCGAUUACAUCCUAAAAAGGACUGAUAGGAAGGAAGUACUGGAGUGGAUCAAGGCGUUAAGGUUCCCCGAUGGGUACGCAGUGAAUCUGAGUAGGGGAGUGAACUUGAAGACUUUGAAAGUCUUAGGGAUGAAGAGUCAUGACUUCCACAUAUGGAUUGAGCGGCUACUUCCUGCGAUGACCCGUGGAUACCUCCUCGAUCCAGUGUGGCGUGUCCUAGCAGAGUUGAGCUAUUUCUUCCGACAGCUUUGUGCUAGAGAGUUAUCUCGGGCAGUGAUUCUUGACCUGGAGCGUGUUGCACCUCUGUUGCUCUGCAAGUUGGAGAUGAUCUUUCCACCUGGCUUUUUUCUGCCGAUGCAACAUCUGAUUUUGCACCUACCGCGUGAGGCACGGCUGGGGGGUCCCGUGCAGGCCCGUUGGUGCUAUCCAAUCGAGAGGUGUCUAAAGAUUCUUCGGAAAAAGUGUAGAAAUAAAGCCAAAAUUGAGGCUUCUGUGGCAGAGGCAUUCAUAGUGGAGGAGGUGUCAAACUUCACAACGACGUACUAUACUGAGAACCUUCCCACCGGCGCACCCCCUCGUUACAACGCCGAUGAGAGUUCAUCGACCCUGAGUUUAUUCAAAGGGCAACUCGGAAGAGGAAGCGCAGGUACCCACAAGCAGUUGCGAGAUCAUGAGUGGCGCACUAUCAUGCUCUACGUGUUGAUGAACCUUGACGAAGUGGAGCCUUAUCGAAUGUAAGUUCUCAAUGAUCUUGUUACAUACGCCGUCAAUAUCCUCUACAUAUCAAAAGAACAGUGAGCUUGUCUCUUGUUUUUUCAGAAAGUUUGUGAAAGAACAAUGGAAAGGGAGAAGGGCUCCCACCAUCCAAGAAAAAGACAAUCUUCUCAAAAAUGUCGUGCCCGAUUUUAUUUCUUGGUUCCGUACAAAGGUACCAUCCAACCUACCUCGUUCCAACUUUGAGAUUCCACUUUGCUCCUAGGAGCGAGUAAUGUAACAAUCUACCUGGCCUCACCUUGCAGGCCCGCACGGAUGCAGAAAUGGAUGGUGAAUUGAAACAGGUUGCACGGGGCUUUGCUACAAGGGUAAAGUCAUUCACCGUUUAUGAUGUGAAUGGCUAUCGCUUUCGCACGAGAAGGCACGAGGAGAGUCGGCCCAACCUAAAGACCACAUGCACAGGAGUUCGUACACCUGGCAACGAUGACCGUGACUAUUACGGCAUAGUCGAAGAAAUAUAUGAGCUUGACUUUGAGGGCCCCCAAGCUCUUAAACCAGUGGUGUUCAAAUGCCAUUGGUUCGAUCCUGAGGUCAUCAGAAGAGCUGAUGACAUUGGGCAAGUCGAAAUUUGAAAAGAUUCCAUCUAUAAAGGAGAAGAUGUCUAUAUUGUGGCUCCACAGGCCACGCAAGUUUAUUAUCUCUCAUGGGCGUGCCAAAAAGACAAGGAUCUUGAGGGUUGGUACCUUGUGCACUUGGUAUCGCCACGUGGUAAAGCGCCUCUCCCAAACGAUGAUGACUACAACUAUGACCCACAAGAUAAUAGCGGAGAGUUCUAUCAACCUGAGGGCCUAGACGGGUGAUUGGAGAUAGACAUUCUUUCACUAAUGGGCAUGGAAGGCGACGAUGAGGUCGAUGAGGACGAGGGUGAAGUAGUGCAAGAUGCUAAGGACUUAAUAAUGCUUGAGGAAUGGAGGGCUCAACGUGAUAGACAUGUUGUUGAGGACGAUGGAGUUGGUGUUGAAAAUGGAUAUGUCGAGGACCUUAGAGAGCUCGACAAUAUUGACAGUGAUGAUGACUAUAGUGACGAUGAGCCAACCACCGCCGUUCGUGGAGAUAAUUUCUAAUUCAUGUAAUAUUGUAUUUUUAUAGUUAUUAAUUUGCAAUUAUGUUUUGUUCAUUUUGCAUAUCUUUGUAAGUACUCCUUGUUUAAUUGUACUAAUUGGUUUUAGCUUUGUCAUUGCAGGUACAGGACAAAAUGCCGGGCGGAAGGCGACCGCGGCGAAAGGGGGUCGCCUCGACCUUCAUGAGGCACGACGACACCGACGACACAGACCUUCAGCCUCAGCUGGAGUCGUCCAUGAGCAGGGACCAUGGACGGGGCCAGGUCACGGCGUCUUCUAGCCCGAUGGCCCAGCCCGAGGAGGAGCACUUCGAGGGCGACCACGUCGGGGACGACGAUGAGGAGCUAGUUGUUGAGGCGGCGAGUUCGUCUAGCUCGGGCAAGCUCUAUGCGCGUGGUAUCACGCGCCUCCCUGAUCGGCCGCCCGCGCGACACGCCCGAGCGUUGAUCACACCUUGCGGUGAUAGGUAAGUAACCAUUCAUGUUUUUACGAUUAAUUCAUAUGACAUGUUGAAAAUCGAACUUCAGACUAACAAUUUUUCGUAAUGCCUCGUGCAGGAACUUUGUCAAGGUGAAUGCGACGGAGUCACGCCAUAUCACUAGCAUACAGGGCCUCCUUAUUAAGAAGCACUACCCCGGCUUGGUGAUGCACAAGGGGAAAGUGGAGCCACCCUUUUCCUGGCCGCACUUCUCUAGCGUCGCGGUAAACGACACCACUCUUGCGCAGGUCAUCAAGGCCGAGUUCUGGGUAAGUCUUUAGUACUAUGCAUUCAUUGGAUGUUUUUGAAAUAAUGAAAUAAAACAUAUAUGAUGUUUGUAUGUAGGAGUGGUUCGUGUGCGAGGAGGGGAAAGAGGCCGAGGCGGCGAAAAUCCAGGACAAGGUCUGCAGAGAGCGGCUGAAGGACAUGUACUUCGAGGCGCACAUCCAGUGCGUCAUCUCCUACCACCAUGAGGUGCUUGGCCAGAAGGUGAUAAAGAAACAGGCCAGGGAGAUGAUCAUGUGGCCCGACACUGAUAUCACCAAAGAGCAGUACAUGCAGGUAAGUAGGGAACAUUUAUUCUGCCUUUAAAAAUAAGUAUGAAACAUUAAUUCUCAUUCAUCUUCUGACAUAUCAAAUGCAAGUUGUCAUGCAGUUUCCUGCUGAUUGGUGCAAAUCACACAUCGACUGUUGGGCUCAGAUUGUGGACUCGUGGCAGAGGCCGGAGGCGUACGUGGAGCGCAGAAGAAGACGGGAGAACCGUCUGGCUGCGACGAGAGGGGCGUCACACCACCAGGAGAGCGUGCCCCUCCUAGGGUACAUGGACACAUAUGUAUGUUUCUUUCUUUUGUUUGUUUAUUUAUUUUUGCUAACGCUUUAUUCUCAUUACGUUUAAUCAACCUUGUUUGUGUUUUUCUCGCAGCGCAAAGACCCACGGCAACGUGCCCAUCAGCGAGUAUGUUGGGUACGCCCUGGCUAACAAGGGGCGAGCGUCGGAUCCGAACAACGUCUACAACCCACAGGACGGGCCCGAUGCAUACACCAACACUGCCGCCUACGAGAAGAUGUCCGCGUACGCUACUGCAGCUCGCACGCGCCAUGGGGAUGACUUCGACCUUACCACCGAGCCACUGGACACGGACUUGCUAAUGAGGACGGGAGGAGGGAAGCAGCACGGCCGGUACAUGAUUGCCCACAGCGCAAUCAACCCGGCCACCGUACCCACGCUCCGCGAGGUUCGGCAGGGGAGCAGCUCGACCUCCGACGUCCCCAUACGGCCUCGUCAGCCGAGCUCCGUGCAGCAGAUAGCUGCGAUGCAGGUAACUCAGCUUUAUCCAUCGUCCAUUAGUUUUACAUAUAUACAUCUUCUUUUGCAUUGUUUAACCAUUGCGGGUGUAAUAUUGCAGUCGCAGCUAGAGGAGUUGCGGGCCAGGCAGGACGAGCUGCAGGAGGCUCAUCGACGAGAGCUGGCGGCCGAGCUGGCGGCCAGAGACGAGGCCCAUCGGCGCCACAUGGAGGCACAGCAGCAGCACACGCAGCGUCAGAUCUCGGACCUAGUCGGAUACUUCCAGUCCAUCCAGAGCUCUACAGCGCCUCCGCUGCCUGCCUCGCUCUUCGCUUCAGCCCCUGUUCCUGCCCCUGUAGGCAGUCCGGUGAGUGUAUAUAUGUUUGUCUAUUGCUUUGGCUUGUGCGGCCGUCCUGCAGAUACUAAUGAGUUCGCUUUUAUAUUAUGUAGCAUCAGUCGUGGGGUUCGAAUCGACCCCUUCUCCAGGCAGUGGGUGGCAGGUUACUACUUAUGGCCACCCAAGUACGCAGCACACGUGGCCUGGUGCCCAUCCGCAGCACGGCCACCCCGGGUUGUCCGGCAGCCCUCCUCCGUGCCCCGGGUACUCGUACCCGUACCCGUCGGUGCCAGGGCAGGCCAUGUGGGCGCCGUGGGCAGGUGCGAGCUCUCCACACCCUGGGGGGCACUCACCCUGGUCGGCUUGGCCAGAUGGGGGCUCGGGACACGACGGAGGCCACGGCGACGACAGGUCAGAGUCACAGCACUAGGGGUGAGGCGCUAGCGACUUCGAGGAGUGAUAUUCAUGUGGACUUGUGGUUUAUGUUAUGAACUUGUGGUUUAUGUUAUGAACUUAUGGUUUAUGUUGGACGUAAUGUUAGAUUUGUCAUAUCUAUGUGGAUUUGUGAUAUCUGUGGACUUCGAUAUGUUUCAUGUGUGAUAUAUAUGUGGAUUGUGAUAUAGACAAAGGGAUUUGUGAUAUAUAUAUAUACAUAUGUGGCUGUGCAUGUAAAAAACAGAGAAAAAACAAAAAACAAAAGUAAAUUCCCAGCUUUGCCGAGAGCCUGGAUGGCUGGCACUCGGCAAAGAUAGAAAGCCGGGUUCAGAAGAUUUACAGCUUUGCCGAGAGCCUCGCUGUCUGGCUCUCGGCAAAGGCUGUCUUUGCCGAGAGCCUUCAUGCAGGGCUCUCGGCAAAGACCUCCUUUGCCGAGAGCCAGCCUGGCAGGCUCUCGGCAAAGGCUUUUUUUUAAAAAAAAAAAAUCUUUGCCGAGAGCCUGCCAGCACGGCUCUCGGCAAAGACGACGUCAAUAUUGACGUUUCUCGACGGCGCCGUAGGCUUUGCCGAGGGCUAUUCUGGCCCUCGGCAAAGUCUUUGCCGAGAGCCACGUGGCAGGCUCUCGGCAAAGCCUUUGCCGAGGGCUUUUUGGCCUUUGCCGAGGGCUCUCGGCUCUCGGCAAAGAAGCCGGAUCCAGUAGUGCGAAGUGGUUCAUCUCUUAUUCUGUUGGAUGUUGACUUGUCCAAACUCGGAAUUAUAAACGGGCAUGGAACGGCCAACACUUCCCCAAUCCCAGUGACGUUAGAAGUUAUUCGACCAGUGCUAUAUGUCGCAUACUCUAUGAUCAAGGGCUAAGUAAACUAAUGUUGAUUGGAUCAGGCUUCGGUCAACUACUGGACAGCCUUUGCAUAGGUGCAGUUGGCCACCAUUAUGCGUGUGUGAUUCUGGCUGGCGCCUGCCGCCUUCUAGUAAUUGUCCAGGCUGCUAGCAACGGCUGCUAGCAACGCACUAGAAAAUGAGUUCUCUAGCAGAAAGUCAACCACUUUCCGUUUACUGAAAGUAUAUAUAUGUCCAGGCUGCUAGCAAUGGCUGCUAACAACGCACUAGAAAAUGAGUUCUCUAGCCGAACGUCAACCGUUAUCCGUUUACUGAAAGUAUACUAGAAGAUGAGAAACGGAACACCUAAUAAUCAUUUGUUGUUACUUUCAUUCUCAUUAGUAGCAUGAGCAUCACCUCAGAAGAGGACAAGCAGCAUCAAUUGAUCAUAUUACGUUGACAGACAGUAUUAGUAGUCUGGAAGAUGAGAAAAGAAACAAGUAUAACAUUUUUUCUCAAUCAUGCCAAAGGUUUGCGCGUUUUUGUAUUAACUAUUAAGGUAGAGAAAAGUUCAAUACAACAUGCCUUAGUGGCGCCCUAGGGUGCCAAAAGAGAUUGUACGUGGACACUCUGAUCCUUCCUAGUGUCCUGCAAGAUAUGUUAUUACAUUGGAUAAUGAACUAGCGCUGCCGACUAGGAGGCCUAUUCCCAGACCUUCGAGUGGCGGCGGCGCUGCCUGCGCCCGCCCACCUCAUUGUCCGCUGGGAACAACUUACACAGCACUUGCAUAUCAGUGGGGUCACCAUUAAGAUAUCUUUGUAUGCCUUUAGGGUCAACGUCAAUGGAGAUGGCAUCUCGCGGGUUAGUCCCAUGCGCUUCAUGACAAGGUACUCACAUCACUUCGGCACCAGGAUAUAAGAUAUGCUCUACGCCGCUAUCCGCUUGCUCCACAUGGGGAGCAUGGGCGGUGGAUGAUCGUCGUGGCUUCAACCAACUUCGGGCAGCUCCAGUAGUGUCGUCGUCAUAUCCGCAUCACCGUAUAGCUGGGGUGCGCACAGCAGGUGGAGGCCAGACUCAACCAGAGGAGGGAGAAAAGGGCCAAUGGCUUUGGGUCGGGAGCCUAUGGUGGUGGCACCGAGAAGGAGGCGGCUCAUCCGACCGAGGCGGAUCCGUGGCCGGAAAUGGCAGUGGAGGCGGGGCUUUGUGAGGGUCAUGGAAGGAAUGGAGGGGGAAGGAGAGGGGGAGGGGUCGCCGGUGUCUAGGUCGCAGCCAGUGGCGGUGCCACCGCGUGCUGGGGAUCGACAGCCACCAGGUGGCGUCCUCUCUAUCGGGCAAAGAGGGAAAGACAACUAUAAUAAUUAUUUGUUGUUAUUUCAUUAUAAUUAGUAGCAUGGGCACCAGCUCGAAGACGACAAGCAGAAUCAAUUGCUUGACUUCACUCUUUAGUCAUCAGGCUUCUACUCCCAAAAUAAAUAUAUUUUCUAGAGUUAUUCAAAGUUAAACUAUCUUAAGUUUGUCCAAAUUCAUAGAAAAGAACACAAAUAGUUAUGACACAAAAAUCAUUAAAUACAUCAUAAAAUAUUUUUUCAUUAUACAUAUUUGGUGUCAUAGAUGUUUGUACUCUUCUAUACAAAAUUGGUCAAAUUUAAAAUAGUUUAACUUAGGACCACACUUAGAGUUGAUUUAUUUCUAGGAUGAGGAAUAUUUUCUCUCACAAACAUAUAUGAAAGCUUUGCACAUCAAUUUUUACUCACAGAGGGUCUCAAAGUUGACCAAAUUUGUCACAUAUAUAGUGUAUGUUACUCAAGAAGUGUAAAAAAAAGAUUGUAGGUGAUGCUCUAUUAUCUAAAAAGAGAAGGAAGAUAGGUCAUAACUUGCACUGUAUGCCAACAGUAGUUUUCUAUUUUUUUGAGCUAGUCGUUGAAGAUACGACGACAGCACUAAGGCCCAUUGAAGAUGAAAAAAAUUUAGUGUCACAUCAGAUGUGUCGGAAAGAUAUCGGGAAGGGUUUAGAAACUAAUAAAAAAAUAAAUUACAUAGCUCGUCUGGAAACUACAAGAUAAAUCAAUUAAGCAUAAUUAAUCUAUCAUUAGCACAUAUCGAUUACUGUAGCACUUAAGACUAAUCAUAGACUAAGAUUAAAAGAUUUGUCUCGCUAUUCUCAACCAAACUGUAAUUAGUUUUUUAUUCACAUUUAAUGUUCCAUGCAUGUGUCCAAAGAUUCGAUGGGAUGGAUAAAAAAUUUUUUGGUGGGGAACUAAACAGGGCCUAAGAUCUUGUUUAGUUCCUAAAUUUUUUCAAGAUUCUCCGUCACAUCGAAUCUUGCGGCAAAUGCAUGAAGCAUUAAAUAUAGAUGAAAAUAAAAACUAAUUACACAGUUUGUCUGUAAAUCGCGAGACAAAUCUUUUGACUUUAGUUAGUUUAUGAUUGGACAAUAUUUGCCACAAACAAACGAAAGUACUACAAUAGCGAAAUCCAAAAAUUUUUGCAAACUGAACCAGGCCUAAGAUUGCUUAUUAAUGCAAGGCUGACUUUAGGCCUUGUUUAGUUCUCAAAAUUGUUUGGGUUGAGAUACUGUAGCACUUUCGUUUUUAUUUGACAAACAUUGAUCAAUCAUGGAGUAACUAGGUUUAAAAAAUUCAUCUCGUGAUUUAUAGGCAUACUGUAUAAUUAGUUUUUAUUUUUAUCUAUAUUUAAUGCUCUAUGCAUGUGCCGCAAGAUUCGAUGUAACGGGAAAUUUUGAAAAAAAAAAUUGUUUUUUGGUGUUGUAUAAACAUAGGUGCAGUUCGCCAUCAUUCCGUUUGGCUGACAGUACUAGAAGAUGGGAAAAGAAACACCUGAUAAUUAUUUAUUGUUAUUUAUUUUCAUGCUUUUUUAUGAAACAGGAGGGGUCGAGCCCCUACUGAAAUUUUAUAUUAACAAGGAGGAACAAAGUUAUACAACGCCAGGUUCAAGAAACAUAAAAGGAAAGGAAAAAAUAGCAAGUAUUACACAAAACCUUCUAGCCAUUGAUCUAUACGAGGAGUGUUACUUGUUUUCAUUCUUCAUUAGUAGCAUGGGCACCACUUCAGAACAGGACAUGCAGCAUCAUCAUUUGAUCAGAAAAGCCUGACUCUACUCCCCAGUCAUCGGUCUCACAGUGUGUUUCUCAAGAAAUGUUAAGGAAAAAAAUUGAGAUAGCGACAGCACUAAGAUGGGCCACGACCCUAUUUAGCUUCUUGCCCCCACCAACAAGCUUGCUAUACCAGCUUCAAUUCCUUCUCUCCGAUCCCUUCUCUCCUCAAACAAAACUUGGUUCUCUCCCGUUGAUCGAUCUCCCUGCUCCGCCAUUUAUCUCUGCCAUGCAUCUUCUCCGUCCUUUUGUUCUCUCUCUGGUCCUUUUUGUCAUCCUGCACGCACCCCCGCCCUCCGCCGCCACAGACACACUCCGACCAGGCCAUGUGCUUGCCGGCGGCGAGAAGCUUGUCUCGGCCAACGGCAAGUUCGCGCUCGGCUUCUUCCAAACAAAGAGCUCAUCCUCAUCCUCCCAAAACUCCUACCUCGGCAUAUGGUUCGACAAGGUCCCCGUGGUGACCCCAGUGUGGUCAGCCAACAGGGACAAUCCACUCUCCAAUUCCACUUCGCCGGAGCUCAUCAUUUCCAGCGACGGCAACCUGGUUGUCCUAGAUCAGGGCACCACCAUCUGGUCUACCCGGGCAAACACAACGACCAAUGACACCGUCGCUGUGCUCUUGGGCACUGGCAACCUUGUCCUACGGAGCUCCUCCAACUCUUCGCUCAUAUUCUGGGAAAGCUUCGACUACCCGACAGACACCCAUCUACCUGGUGUAAAGAUCGGAUGGAACAAGGUCACCGGCUUGAACCGUGGGCUUGUUUCGAGGAAGAAUUCCAUCGAUCUGUCUUCAGGUAUAUACUCCACGAGGAUGGACCACGAUGGGAUUGUCAGGAUGCUAUGGAACUCAUCUAUUGUGUAUUGGUCUAGCACGUGGAAUGGUAGAUUCUUCAGUGCGAUACCAGAGAUGUCUGCAGGCCUAGGUACCGGUGGUAUAGCCAAUUAUACCUUCAUCAACAACGACCAAGAGCUUUACUUCACCUACAACAUAUUUGAUGACAGCAUAAUCAUACGCACUACGCUUCUAGUCUCUGGUCAAAACCGAGCGAGCGUUUGGACAGGGCAGGCUUGGAUGACAGUGAACAACCUUCCAGCACGUCAAUGUGAUGUGUAUGCUGUUUGUGGCCCUUUCACGGUCUGCACUUCAAAUGCAGAUCCUUAUUGCAGUUGCAUGAAGGGAUUCUCUGUAAGAUCACCUGCGGAUUGGGAGACAGAGAACAGAACAGGCGGGUGCAUCAGAAAUACUCCACUGAAGAAGUGUCGCGCUGAUGAUGGAAACAAAACAGGUAUGGCAGACAAAUUCUACUCUAUGCCAGGCAUUAGGUUGCCCCAGAAUGGCAAGAUCAUGCCAAAUGCAUCAAGCGCCGAAGAAUGCGCACGAGUUUGUUUGAGUAUUUGUUCUUGCACUGCAUAUUCAUAUGGAAAAAAUGGUUGCUCUAUCUGGCAUGAUGAGUUACUUAAUGUAGCUACUGACGGUAAUGAAGAAAUGAUUUACCUUCGCCUUGCUGCAGUAGAGUUAGAGAGCGGGAAAGGCAAUAGGAGUGGCAUGGUCAUUGGUGUUUCCGUUGGCACAAGCAUUGCUGCUUUGGCUUUUAUUCUCAUCAUACUGAUUUGGAGGAGAAAAGGGAAGUGGUCUAAACCCGUAGUAGACAAUGAUAAUGGUAGUGUUGGCAUAAUUGCAUUCAAAUAUUCUGACUUGCAAGAUGCAACAAAAAAAUUCUCGGAGAAGCUAGGUGCGGGUGGUUUUGGUUCUGUAUUUAAGGGGUGCCUAAGUGGGUCGAUUGCCAUAGCAGUGAAAAGGCUCGAUGGCGCUCGACAAGGAGAGAAGCAAUUCAGGGCAGAAGUAAAUUCAAUUGGAAUCAUCCAACAUAUAAAUUUAGUGAAAUUGGUCGGAUUUUGCUGUGAAAGUGAUAAGAGGUUACUUGUGUAUGAGCACAUGCCAAAUGGCUCCCUGGAUUCUCAUCUAUUCGAAAGUUAUGGUACAACUUUAGAUUGGAACAUUAGAUACAAAAUAGCUAUUGGAGUUGCUAGAGGUCUAGCAUACUUGCACCAUGGUUGUCGAGACUGCAUCAUACACUGUGACAUCAAACCACAGAACAUACUUCUGGAUGCAUCAUUUGUUCCAAAAAUCGCAGAUUUUGGAAUGGCAAAGUUUCUUGGGAGGGAUUUCAGCCAUGUUGUGACUACAAUGCGAGGAACUAUCGGAUAUCUUGCUCCAGAAUGGAUCAGUGGAACACCUAUUACUCCCAAAGUUGAUGUUUAUAGCUAUGGGAUGGUCUUGCUAGAGAUCAUAUCAGGAAAGAGGAACUCUAUUCAACAUUCAUCUAGUGAUAUUGAAGGCCAAGGUGACUAUCUACCUGUGCAAGUUGCACACAAGCUUGUCCAUGGAGACAUUUUGAGCAUUGUGGAUGCAAACUUGCAUGGCGAAGUGAACAUGGCAGAAGUUGAAAGGGUUUGCAAAAUCGCAUGUUGGUGCAUCCAAGAUCGUGAGUUUGAUCGGCCCACAAUGAUUGAGGUGGUACAAUUUCUCGAGGGAAUAUGCGAACCAGAAAUUCCUCCAAUGCCAAAGCUACUCUAUGCUGUUGCCGUAGGUGGCUCAUAUCAGUCGGGAGAGUAAUUUGUAGCUUUUCAGCAAAUUCAACAAUCCAUGAAAUGUCUAUCAGUUGUUAUGCAAUUAAAUUUGUUUUCUGUAACAUGUAAUAUUUUGUCUUGUGGUGUAUUAGACAAAUCUGUUUUUUGUGUAACAUGUAAUAUUUCUACAUACCCUAAGAUAUGUAACAUGUCGGGCUUCAAUGUGCCAAUAUGUCCUGUCAUACAAAUAAAGUUAGUAACUGUGUCUCAUAAACUGGCCUCUAUGUACCCCACGUUGACUAUCAACAAUUAUUGUUAUUAACACCCAAACCUUCUAUUAGGAUAAUUGUAUAGCCUAGCUUCUUGUACCACAUGUUGUCCUUGUAGUACAAGUUGUACUCCCUCUGUACAUAGAUAUAUAUACAUAUGAAAGGCACCCCCCACCCACACACACACACACACACACAACGGGUGCAUGGUGAUUCCCCCAAUACCUUACUAAAUGGUAUCAAAGACUUGGGCCUAGGUAACAAAUCACUACCAAAAUAAAACACUUGCAUCUUAUCCCACAUGAGAACCAAGUAACAAAGCAUAGACUUUCUGAACAAAAGAAACAGAGACAGGUAAGGGGAGGGGAGGGGAGCAAGGGACGGACAUGGACCAGUUCAGAGGCUGGUGUAGGGAUCACAGGUGUCGCGUCACGUGUGGCUUGGCGAGGUCGUCUGACGGCGGAUGAGACGAGCUUGGAGUUGGGCGUCGUAGAAGCCGGGUUCCGCGGCGACCUAGUCCUCCACCUGCUGCACAUGAGUGCGGCUUGAUCGUCGCGUGCGGCUUGGCGAGGUCGUCCGGUGGCGGGUGAGACGAGCUUGGAGUUGGGCAUCGUAGAAGUCGGGUUCCGCGACGACCUCCACCUGCUGUGCCAUGGGCAGAUGACCGGGGCAGGGCCAUGCAACGCCGAAGUAGGGCUUUACGUUGCCGGAUCUGCACGUCGUCGAGGCGAAUCCGGAGCCGAGCUCGCUGGCCGGCGUGGAGGUUGUCGCUGGAAGCCAACCUCGACACAAGCAUGGCAGGGGCUGUGGUUCCUUGUGGAGAGGGGAGGCGGCGUGGGAGGAAUUGUUUUUGACCGCAUGUUGACCACGGGAGUCCGGCGUUUUUUCCUAAGCGACGUAAUUACAGAGGCAGGCCGAUUAGUUAGUGGAGACGAUAACAUUUGACUCUUUUUAGUUGUAGAGAUACGUGUAUAUACUCGAUCUCUACACGGAAUUGCACCGGCGUACCCUGUAGCUCCACCACUGGUUGUAGGUAACUUGCUUAUCUUACUUGUCCUAAACUUUCAUGAUUUUAGGACAACAGGUCUAGCUAAGAGUUAUAGCAUAUCUGAGUACGGGCACAUACAAACUGACUAAGGAUGCAGAUAGAGUGAGAAAUAUCCCAACAAGUUGACGAAAGCAACUAGGAUCAUCAAGAGGCUCACCGUCACAUAUUCACACUUCAAGGUUUUUACCCUAAUCUGUUGUGAGAGGUAGGUGUUAUGGCCAUGGCUAAAUGGUGGUUGCGAGUAUGUGUAAAUACUUGUGUUAAUAGUGAGUUCGUGUUGCUAUAACAAGUUAUUGUUGCCACCAUUAUUCUAAUGAUGGUUUUGCGAUUAGUUUUCAAUAUGACCACGAACUAAUUGUGUUGCCAUGCUAUAUAUUGCAACGAAAAAAAUGAUCCGUUGCAUCACAAGGUUCUAUUUCUACCGAUUACAUAUGUUGCAAUGUUGGAUCUCAUUGCAAGUAUUAGGGUCUGUUUGGUAGAGGUCACAAUAGCUUCAUGAGCUGUUGUGUGAGCUGUUUUUUUUUUGCCAAACACUUAUUUUCAAAACAGCUUCAUAGAUGAAGUUGUUUUUCCUCUUCUCUCACAAAGACAUAAGUUGAGAUGAAGCUGGAAAAAAGUAGCUUAUUGCAGCUUCUCCCUCAUUUCUCUCUCUCAACUAUGCAUGAAGUAGUUGAUGAAGCUAUUUUGUCAAAUACUUUCUCCAAAACAGCUCAGCUUCAUCUAGAAAGUCACUCAUGAAGCUAUUUUCUAAAAAAGCAGUUUUACUAGUGAAGUUGAGCUGUGCCAAACAAGCCCCUUAGUUGUAUUGCCACACAAGUUUGUUCGUGGGCCUUACAUAAUCCUACACAUGAACCAAAUGCAAAAAAGGGGUUAGGCUAAAUAACCAACCACCAAGCAGACGAGGCGCCGUCGUGUAACCUUGCACCAGCAUCUCCCACCCGCCUGAUAAACGCUGCCACCACCAAGGCACCAACCAACACAUGGCGUUGCCCAACAGUUGCUGCCCCUGAGAAACACAUGUUGCCACCGCCCUAAUACAUACGCUGCCGAUCGCGCCCAGCCAGCACCAUUCUGUGUAGUAGUGUGUACUGCUAUAUAAGUAUAUAAUCUGUCCUUGAGAGUGCGAUACCAAGUUUAUUAGUCUCUUACUUGUAAUCAUCAGCCAUUUGAAUAUUAUGAGACUAUUUCAACAGCUCAUGUUUGCCUUCAUAAGUACAAGGUGCAUAGACAGUUGUUAGAGCGUGAGAAGCCAGCUAUAACCAUUGUGCAAAAAAAAAAAAAAAAAAAAAAAAAAAAAAAAAAAAACUCGAACCCGCGGGAUAAGACAGUUCCGGGUAUUAUGCUUUAGAAGAAGAUCUUCUCACACGCAUCGAGAAAAUUCUUGAACCUCUACCCCACCCAUACACAGAUGUGGAUUCCAGUCACAUGGCAUAUAUAAUUCUGUUGGAUGUUGACUUGUCCAAACUCGGAAUUAUAAACGGGCAUGGAACGGCCAAUACUUCCCAAUCCCAGUGACGUUAGAAGUUCAUUCCACCAGACCUAUGUUGCAUACUCUAUGAUUAAGGGCUAAGUAAACUAAUGUUGAUUGGAUCAGGCUUCGGUCAACUACUGGACAGCCGCCUUUGCAUAGGUGCAGCUGGCCACCAUUAUGCGUACGUGUGUGAUUCUGGCUGGCGCCUUCUAAUAAUUGUCCAGGCUGCUAGCAACGCACUAGAAAAUGAGUUCUCCAGCAGAAAGUCAACCACUUUCCGUUUACUGAAAGUAUAUAUAUGUCCAGGCUGCUAGCAACGCACUAGCCGAACGUCAACCGUUAUCCGUUUACUGAAAGUAUACUAGAAGAUGAGAUACGGAACACCUAAUAAUCAUUUGUCGUUACUCAUUAGUAGCAUGAGCAUCACCUCAGAAGAGGACAAGCAGCAUCAAUUGAUCAUAUUACGUUGACUGACAGUAUUAGUAGUCUGGAAGAUGCGAAAAGAAACAACUAUAACAAUUUUUCUCAAUCAUGCCAAAGGUUUGCGUGUUUUUGUAUUAACUAUUAAGGUAGAGAAAAGUUCAAUACAACACGCCUUAGUGGCGCCCUAGGGUGUCAAAAGAGAUUGUACAUGGACACUCAGAUCCUUUCUAGUGUCCUGCAAGAUAUGUUAUUACAUUGGAUAAUGAACUAGCGCUGCCGACUAGGAGGCCUGUUCCCAGACCUUCGAGUGGCGGCGGCACUGCUUGCGCCUGCCCACCUCAUUGUCCGCUGGGAACAACUUACGCAGUACUUGCAUAUCAGUGGUCACCAUUAAGAUAUCUUUGUAUGCCUUUAGGGUCAACGUCAAUGGAGAUGGCAUCUCGCGGGUUAGUCCCAUACGCUUCAUCACAAGGUACUCACAUCGCUUUGGCACUAGGAUAUAAGAUAUGCUCUACGCGCUAUUCGCUUGCUCCACAUGGGGAGCAUGGGCGGUGGAUGAUCGUCGUGGCUUCAACCAACUUCGGGCAGCUCUAGGAGUGUCGGCUCCCUCCUCUUUAUGAUUCACUCGGUGAAGCACUUGAGGCGCCCCGAGCAUGUUAGAGGAGAUGGAGUACCAUUGACAUCAUCCAUGACAGCCAUGACUGUCGCACAUCACAGGGUGGCUGCCCAACCAGCACUGGGUCUAAGAGUGUCUCGUCAUCCAUGACAUCGGACUAUCCUGCCUGUGGCAGCAUGACUCUUGGCAACACUACUUAGGCGACAUCGAAGGCAAGUUCGUUGUCCACUAGGCAGCCUUCACCAGAGAGCGGGUGUCCACUCGGGACGCGUCCUCUUCCUAACCGGCUAUUGCCGAAGCUGGCGAGCACCCAGUCGGUGGUGCUCCUACUAGGCAACUCACAACAAGUGAGGCAGUGAGCUCCUCUAGCAUAGGGCCGACCCACGUGGGAGCCUCCGCGCUUAUGCACAGCUGAAAGGAUCUAAGUGGCUAGAGAGGUGUGAAUAGCCUAAUUUAAAAUUCUACAAGAAUACUAGAGCAAAGAGGUUAGACAAUAAGGGGUGCUAAUGCAAUUUUUCUCUAGACCUACAAUACAACUACUAAACAACUAAGCUAGAGAGCAACCUAGGAAACUAAGAACAAACUCGUUAUAACUACUGGCUAUUGUACUAGCUACUCAAACAAACAAGCACUACAGUAGAUAUGUGAAAGUAAGUGCGAGAGCAGUAACCAAUACCAAACUGGGCAAGUGUCAAUAAAAAAUUCCAAGAAACAAUGUGACACAAAAUAUAUCCCCAUGGUUUGAUUGCUUAUCGGCAACCUACGUCGACGUUGUGGAGAUAUACUCACUUGGUCGCUCAUGCGUUAAUAGGCAUCACACGUCCAGCCCACCACUUGGGCACCAUAAGAACUAACACAAGAGAGGAUCCACAAGCCACGAUUCCACUAGAGUUGCCUUUCGUGAUCUCGCGUACGGAAUAGGCGCAAGAACCCUUCAGAAACACCAUGAUUGGAGUCGGCAACAAUCACCAAUGCCCGCUCAACAAUCACCGCUGCUCCAAGCCGUGUAGGUGGCAGCAACCACCAAGAUAAGAAACCCCACAGCAACAUGAUCACAAGUGCCACUAAAUGCAGUCACUCAAGCAAAUAGUCUUGGAUCACUCCCAACUCACUUUGGAUGGUCAACACAUGAGCUAGAUGAGUGGUAAAGGCUUGAGUAUGCUCACAAGGUGUAUCACUACAUUAUGGAGCCAAGAGCACCUCCCCAAGCCACCCAAGUGCCUUAAAUAGAGCCCAAGAACUCCAACUAGUUGUUGCCACACUCAGUCGGCGGUCAGACUCAUUUGCACGGGUCAUCAAACCACUUUGGGUCUAGUUCGAUGCCAUGCACACCCACUCAAGAGAUGCCAUGCCUCUUGCUCAAAUCAAGUCGACCAUUGGAGCCCCAACAGCCCUCUACCUGUGCUUGCAAUAACACCAUUGGACUACGCUAGAGCACCAGUCCGACCACUUUGUGCCAAUGUCCGACGCCUAACAGAGAGGUCUAGAGAGUGUAGAUUAAGUUGAACUUUGGUCUAGUCGAUGAGUGGUUUGACUCCCACAAACUUUUCACCAUGUGUCAAGCUUGUGCACUGCCUUUGCUAGGUUUGGGGUUGGACUGGUGAAUAGUGUCACCAACCAGUCUAACCACCUUGCUUACUUUGGUCCAACUCCCACAGUCGUGUCUUCUCCAUAGUCGGACCAUUGAGACCAACUAGUCCAACAUUGCUCGCUAAGGUCUAACUCAGCUAGAAGCAUUGAGCUGCCUAGGGUCUUGACUCACAUUGACCCAAGGCUAGGCCUCUACUUCUUCCUUUUCCAAAUGCAACUCUUUACACGUGCUCUCAUGUUCCAACAUAGAAGUGUCCCAAACACUUGCGCACGUGUGUUAGCAUUUUCUAAGGGUUUGUUAGCACUCACUAGGUCCUAGUGCAUAUGCAAUGAUCACUUCAUCUAGUGGCACUUGAUAACUUCAAUUACCAUGAGUUUUCCCCUUUUCAUAGUACAACUAUUUAUCCUAAACCUGAUUACGCACUCUAUUGCAUAUUGACUAGAAAAACAAAAGCUCUAUCUUAUACCUUUGCCUUGAGCUUCAUAGGUUUUUGUUUUUGUUUUUCAUCUUUUCCAAAUAUGGAGCAUUUGAUCACUAUCUCAUGGCCAUCUCAAUCGCCUUGAGUGCCAUCUAGUUCCACCAUGGAUGUGGACCUACAUAUUUCAUACAUAGCACUUAGAGCAUAAGGUUAGUCCACUAGGUUUCAUCAAUUAGCCAAAACCAAACUAUGACUUUCAAUAUCUCCAACACUAGUGUAUUUGGCUCAGGGAAGCAAAGUGUAGCAGUAGUGGUAGUCGCAUUAUUGGCGUAGUCAACAGGCACGCCCAAGCCGAUGUCCCCCACUUGCUUACUCCGAUGUUGCCAUCAUUGUCAUCAGGUCCUUGCCACCAUGAGUAGAAUGGCGUGGUCAGUCACCACCCUUUGUCACUAACAUCACAACAUGCUUGGGCUGCUUGUAGACCUUGGCAAGGUGCCAAAAGAGUUGUGGCAGCACAGACAACGUCGUGGCAACUUGUAGGUUGCUACUCAGUGUGAGUAGGAAAGGCAAUAGAAACAUCUAUCUUGAAGCUCUAUGGGGAUCUUUCGGGAAUGGAGAAGCUGCUUCUCAACCAAGAUGGGCAUAGGUUGUGUUUCAUGAUAGGAGAGGAUCUACCACCACCCAACGGCAUUGGGGUGAGGCUCGUCCAUGGUGGCUGGGGUGAGGGCGAGUAGGGAGACAACCAUAGAUCAACUGAGGUGGUAGGCCGCACACCAGCUGAGGAUGCGGUCUGCUUUGCUUCCUCUGCCUUUAGUCAUGUGUGUGCUAAUGGCACCGCCUCCCGCCAUUGCCGCCCUGGCAGCCCACCUUGGUAACCACGUGUGCCGUUGACGAUGAUGGAUCAAAGUCGAGCUCGUGCAAGCAACGGUGAUGUCGUCUAUGGCUAUAGUUGUCAACGAGCAGCAUUGAGGUAGGGGUUUAGGGAGGUAGUGGAUGACUGCUCUAAUCUAAGGCAGACCCAUUGUAUUGGGGAGGUUGCGUGCAUCGAGACCUAGGUUCGCUGGGAUGGCCAGGCACACAUUGGGCUGGCUGCAUCGGCACUGCCAGCAUGCUAGCAGGUGGCUAUGCCGAGCUCUCUAGCGGAGGGAGGUGGGGGCAGCACAUCUACAGACGCUAGUGGUCUUGGAAUGGGCCCGCAAUUGACGGUGAUGGUCGGGCAGCCAUCCCACGAGUGCCACUAGUGUCGUCGUCCGCAUCACCGUAUAGCUAGGGUGUGCAUAGCACCGGAGGAGGGAGAAAAGGGUCAAUGGCUUUGGGUCGGGAGCCGAUGGUGGCGGCACCGGGAAGGGGGCGGCUCAUCUGACCUAGGCAGAUCUGUGGCCGGAAAUGGCACCGGAGGCGGGGCUUUUGUGAGGGUCGUGGAGGGAAUGGAGGGGGAAAGGGAGGGGGAGGGGGUCGCCGGUGUCUAGGUCAUAGCCAGUGGAGGCGCCACCGUGUGCUGGGGACGGCCACCAGGUGGCGUCCUCUCUAUCAGGCAAGAGGGGAAGACAACUAUAAUAAUUAUUUGUUGUUAUUUCAUUCUAAUUAGUAGCAUGGGCACCAGCUCGAAGACGACAAUCAGAAUCAAUUGCUUGACUUCACUCUUUAGUCAUCAGGCUUCUACUCCCAAAAUAAAUAUAUUUUCUAGAGUUAUUCAAAGUUAAACUAUUUUAAGUUUGUCCGAAUUCAUAGAAAAGAACACAAAUAUUUAUGACACAAAAAUCAUUAAAUACAUCAUAAAAUAUAUUUUCAUUAUACAUAUUUGGUGUCAUAGAUGUUUGUACUCUUCUAUACAAAAUUGGUCAAAUUUAAAAUAGUUUAACUUAGGACCACACUUAGAGUUGAUUUAUUUCUAGGAUGAGGAAUAUUUUUUCUCUCACAAACAUAUGAAAGCUUUGCACAUCAAUUUUUACUCAUAGAGGGUCUCAAAGUUGACCAAAUUUGUCACAUAUAUAGUGUAUGUUACUCAAGAAGUGUAAAAAAAGAUUGUAGGAGAUGCUCUAUUAUCUAAAAAGAGAAGGAAGAUAGGUCAUAACUUGCACCGUACGCCAACAGUAGUUUUCUAUUUUUUUGAGCUAGUCGUUGCAGAUACGACGACAGAUUGCUUAUUACUGCAAGGCUGCCUAUGGGCCUUGUUUAGAGAUACUGUAGCACUUUCGUUUUUAUUUGACAGGAGUAACUAGGCUUAAAAAAUUCAUCUUGCGAUUUAUAGGCAAACUAUGCAAUUAGUUUUUAUGUUUAUCUAUAUUUAAUGCUCCAUGCAUGUGUCGCAAGAUUCGAUGUAACGAAAAAUUUUGAAAAAUUUUUGGUUUUUGAUGGGAACUAAACAAGGCCUCAGGUAUAUACUUCACGAGGAUGGACCACGAUGGGAUUGUCAGGAUGCUAUGGAACUCAUCUAUUGUGUAUUGGUCCAGCACGUGGAAUGGUAGAUUCUUCAGUGCGAUACCAGAGAUGUCUGCAGGCCUAGGUACCGGUGGUAUAGCCAAUUAUACCUUCGUCAACAACGACCAAGAGCUUUACUUCACCUACAACAUAUUUGAUGACAGCAUAAUCAUACGCACUACGCUUCUAGUCUCUGGUCAAAACCGAGCGAGCGUUUGGACCGGGCAGGCUUGGAUGACAGUGAACAACCUUCCAGCACGUCAAUGUGAUGUGUAUGCUGUCUGUGGCCCUUUCACGGUCUGCACUUCAAAUGCAGAUCCUUAUUGCAGUUGCAUGAAGGGAUUCUCUCUAAGAUCACCUGCGGAUUGGGAGACAGAGAACAGAACAGGCGGGUGCAUCAGAAAUACUCCACUGAAGAAGUGUCGCGCUGAUGAUGGAAACAAAACAGGUAUGGCAGACAAAUUCUACUCUAUGCCAGGCAUUAGGUUGCCCCAGAAUGGCAAGAUCAUGCCAAAUGCAUCAAGCGCCGAAGAAUGUGCACGAGUUUGUUUGAAUAUUUGCUCUUGCACUGCAUAUUCAUAAGGAAAAAAUGGUUGCUCUAUCUGGCAUGAUGAGUUACUUAAUGUAGCUACUGACGGUAAUGAAGAAAUGAUUUACCUUCGCCUUGCUGCAGUAGAGUUAGAGAGCGGGAAAGGCAAUAGGAGUGGCAUGGUCAUUGGUGUUUCCGUUGGCACAAGCAUUGCUGCUUUGGCCUUUAUUCUCAUCAUAUUGAUUUGGAGGAGAAAUGGGAAGUGGUCUAGACCCAUAGUAGACAAUGAUAAUGGUAGUGUUGGCAUAAUUGCAUUCAAAUAUUCUGACUUGCAAGAUGCAACAAAAAAAUUCUCAGAGAAGCUAGGUGCGGGUGGUUUUGGUUCUGUAUUUAAGGGAUGCCUAAGUGGGUCGAUUGUCAUAGCAGUGAAAAGGCUCGAUGGCGCUCGACAAGGAGAGAAGCAAUUCAGGGCAGAAGUAAAUUCAAUUGGAAUCAUUCAACAUAUAAAUUUAGUGAAAUUGGUCGGAUUUUGCUGUGAAAGUAAUAAGAGGUUACUUGUGUAUGAGCACAUGCCAAAUGGCUCCCUGGAUUCUCAUCUAUUCGAAAGUUAUGGUACAACUUUAGAUUGGAACAUUAGAUACAAAAUAGCUAUUGGAGUUGCUAGAGGUCUAGCAUACUUGCACCAUGGUUGUCGAGACUGCAUCAUACACUGUGACAUCAAACCACAGAACAUACUUCUGGAUGCAUCAUUUGUUCCAAAAAUCGCAGAUUUUGGGAUGGCAAAGUUUCUCGGGAGGGAUUUCAGCCAUGUUGUGACUACAAUGCGAGGAACUAUCGGAUAUCUUGCUCCAGAAUGGAUCAGUGGAACACCUAUUACUCCCAAAGUUGAUGUUUAUAGCUAUGGGAUGGUCUUGCUAGAGAUCAUAUCAGGAAAGAGGAACUCUAUCCAACAUUCAUCUAGUGAUAUUGAAGGCCAAGGUGACUAUCUACCUGUGCAAGUUGCACACAAGCUUGUCCAUGGAGACAUUUUGAGCAUUGUGGAUGCAAACUUGCAUGGCGAAGUGAACAUGGCAGAAGUUGAAAGGGUUUGCAAAAUCGCAUGUUGGUGCAUCCAAGAUCGUGAGUUUGAUCGGCCCACAAUGAUUGAGGUGGUACAAUUUCUCGAGGGAAUAUGCGAACCAGAAAUUCCUCCAAUGCCAAAGCUACUCUAUGCUGUUGCCGUAGGUGGCUCAUAUCAGUCGGGAGAGUAAUCUGUAGCUUUUCAGCAAAUUCAACAAUCCAUGAAAUGUCUAUCAGUUGUUAUGCAAUUAAAUUUGUUUUCUGUAACAUGUAAUAUUUUGUCUUGUGGUGUAUAGACAAAUCUGUUUUUUGUGUAACAUGUAAUAUUUCUACAUACCCUAAGAUAUGUAACAUGUCGGGCUUCAAUGUGCCAAUAUGUCCUGUCAUACAAAUAAAGUUAGUAACUGUGUCUCAUAAACAGGCCUCUAUGUACCCCACGUUGACUAUCAACAAUUAUUGUUAUUAACACCCAAACCUUCUAUUAGGAUAAUUGUAUAGCCUAGCUUCUUGUACCACAUGUUGUCCUUGUAGUACAAGUUGUACUCCCUCUAUACAUAGAUAUAUAUACAUAUGAAAGGCACCCCCCCACCCACACACACACACACAACGGGUGCAUGGUGAUUCCCCCAAUACCUUACUAAAUGGUAUCAAAGACUUGGGCCUAGGUCAUGUCCCACCCCACCCUAACCCUAGCAUGGCACCAAUCCUCAACCACACUGUUCCUCGUGCUACUACACCACCCACUUUCUGGGUGAAAGGUCCUAAUAUGGCUAGAAGGGGGUAAAUAGCCUAUUUAAAAUUCUACAAACUCACUAGAGCAAGAUGUUAGUAAAUAACAAAGUGAAGCUUUUUGCUCUAACUCUAAUGGGGUGUUUGCAAGCCACCUAUCCAACAAUUCUUGUUGUUAUAAUCACUAGGCACACAAGAACUAAGUCUCUACAAAUUACACUAGUGAGCUUAACUACACAAAACAAGACUAGCAACUAAACUAGUUAUACUAUUUUAUGGUAAGUAAAGGGAGAGGAAGAGAUAUUUAUACCACCGUGUAGGGGAUGAGCCAAUCACCGAUAUAUGAACAAAUAAGCACCGAGAGAAUGUCAAUCAAUCACAAUUGAGACACCGAUUUUUCUCCCGAGGUUCACGUGCUUGCCGGCACGCUACGUCCCUGUUGUGUCGACCAACACUUGGUGGUUCGGCGGCUAAAAGGUGUAGCACGAACCUUGUCCUCACUAGGACACUGCAAGAACCUACCCACAAGUGUGGUAGCUCAAUGACACGAGCAAUUCACUAGAGUUGCCUUUGGCUCUCCGCCGGGGUAGGCACAAACCCCUCACAAUCACCGGGAGAUGGCCACGAACAAUCACCAACUCAUGCCAAUGCUCCUCCGCUGCUCCAAGCCGUCUAGGUGGCGGCAACCACCAAGAGUAACAAGAAAACCACAGCUAAAACGAUCCCCAAGUGCUACUAGAUGCAAUCACUCAAGCAAAUGCACUUGAAAUCACUCCAAUCUCACAAAGAUGUUUAAUCUAUGAAGGAGAUGAGUGGGAGGUGUUUGCUUAGGCUCACAAGGAUAUCAAGUAUGCUAGAAUGCCAAGAGAGUGAGCCCUAAGCCGGUCAACACAUAUUUAUAACUCUCUCAAACAAAUAGAGCCAUUGGCUCCUUCACUGGGCAAAACACGGGGCCACCGGACGCACAGCCAGUGACCACCGGAUGCACAAACCCUGCGUCCGGUGCACCAGAAGAAGCCACGUGUCAACCUUUUGAACCAGGUGCGUUGAUAUAUAACGGUCAAAUACGAACCACCAGACGCGCUCAAGUUAGCAUCGGACGCGUUCGGUGCACACCAGUCACGUGCGCAGAGAGGUCUGCAAAACACACAAGCACCGGACUCACUCCUGAGCGUCUAGUCCCUUACUCAGAGAGAUUUGCAAAACGUGGGACCACCGGACUCGCACCACUGGACGCGCCCUGAGCGUUCGGUGCUCUCAGUCAGAGUCACCCGUAGAAGUCAGGCAGUACCAGACUCGCCAACAGGGAUUAACCCGCGUCCGGUGCCUGGCGUUCGGUGCCUAACCCUAACACAGCUAGGCACUAAUAGCACAUCGGAUGCACAGGCUCAGCGUCUGGUGCCUCUGCGACCAGCGUCUAGUGAGUAUUUCUCAGCGAGAAACAAUUCCGCGACUUCUCCAAACUUUCCACCGGCACGAGAGGAACCCAAACCCCUCUCUACCCUUCAACCUCCACCUCCUUCUCAAAGGGUGCCAACACCACCAAGUGUGUACCAACAAGUGCACAUGUGUUAGCAUUUUCAUAAUCAUUUUCUUCGAAGGAGUUAGGUUAGCUCACUAGGUUCUAAAUGCAUGCACAUAAACAAUAUCACCUAGUGGCACUUGAUAACCGCUUAGCCAAAGAAUUCCCCUCUUUAUAGUACGGCUAUCUAUUCUAAGUGUGAUCACACCCUAUAUGGUGUCUUGAUCACCAAAACCAAAACCCUAAGCAAUACAUUUGCCUUGAACUCCAUAGAGUUUUGUUUUUUUCUUUCUUCUUUUCCAAGUUGAGCACUUGAUCAUCUUAUGGUCAUCACCAUCAUCACCAUGAUCAUCGCUUGCUCCAUCACUUGGCAUGUACUCACCUCAUUAAGACUACACAUACUUAGUAUAGAGGUUAGUACUAGGGUUUCAUCAAUUAUCCAAAACCAAACUAGGACUUUCACUAGGCCACGCCUCUCCUCUGUUCCCCACCUCUUUACAAUCUAGCCGUUAGUGCUGGAUUGCAUAUGUCACCGCCAUCUCCCCUAUCUCUAAGAUGAUGAUGGCAUCGACGCCUAGCACCACGUCUACAACCCUCACCAACUCCUCCUCUGGAUUAGAUCUUGCACCAGCCUUCAACAUCCCACCAUAGCCACCAUCGCCAUCAAGUCUCAUGUGUCGAUCACCCUCGAGUUGAAGCUCCCUAAAUUCACCCGUUGGUCAGCCUUCUUCCUCUCCCUAUGUGGCAAAUUAGGUCUCCACCCGCACAUCGAUGGAACGAUGGCAAUGUGUCCCGAUGACCCAACUUGCACAGCACCCUCGGCCUCAGCAGUGGUGAUGGUAGUGGCCAAAGUAGUGGCAGCUCUGGCAGCUGUGGUGGUGUCAGUGUUUGAUGACCAGCAACACAUUAUGGGGCUACCCGAAAUGUUGAAUGGUGGGCUUCGGUAAGAGCUAAACUUGAUGGUGAACACAAAAACAACGAUUUAUAUUGGUUUAGACCACUGAAUAGCGUAAUUCCCUACAUCCCGUUAGGAAUGAUGCUUUGUGUUGGAUUGUUGUGUAUGAUUGUGUUACAAUGGGUGCUCCUACCUCUCUUUAUAUACUCCAGAGGGCAGGCGCAUAUGUUGAGUCCUAGUCAGCUACAAUAGAAGAGUUCUAGUUCUAUUAUACAAGCUAACUUUCCUAGAGUCUGACUAGGUCAAUCCUUUAUAUAUCUUGGAGUAUGCACCACCUUGCCAUGUUUCCUCAAGUUGACCAUGGGCCAUCCUAAGCCCAUGGUGAGUAGUCAGCCCUAUGAGGAAUCCUUAGGAUCCUAGUUCGUCAAGCCCCCGAACUCUUCAUGGUUAAUAUUGGAAGUCAUCUUAAAUCUUCAGGACUUGGUCUAGUAGAAUUAAGCAACAUCCAAGUUCUUUUUGAGAGAAACCAUGAAGUGCUCUUGAAGGGUCCGAGUGGUGUGCACUUUUUAGGAGUGUAGCCCCCGAGCCUCUUGUUAUUUAGCAUAAAGAGCUAGAGGGUCCAUUUUGCAUUUACUCCAAUUCCUUUCAAAGAAAUUUGAAUGCAUUUGUUGAGGAUAUAUAUCCCACAGCCCCUGAGCCUAAACCAACUACCCAUAGUCAACUAUAGGAUCUUUGAGACAUCCUAAAAGGUGUAGUCAAGUAACCUCUCCAAAGCCAAAUAGACGAAUAGUGAUAUCAGGUACACCUAAAAGAAUCCUUGUGAUGGUUGGAUAUAGAGUUUCAGCUCGGUUCCUUGGUAAUUCUUCACACUUGACUUUGCAGCGUGGCCCCGAAAGCAUUGUCCUUAUCUCUACGGGCUACCUAAAGAUGUAGGCUAGGAAUCUUUGCUCUGUCUUACCCAGACCUUGAUGCAUGCACUGUGCGUCUGACCGUGAAGCCAGGUGCGUCGAGGUUACUGUUGCCGCUCAGGUAGCACUAAAAGUGUUUGUAUCUUUUUAUGGCCAACUAGGCCGUGUACUUUGUUCUUCAAUAUCCAACUUGUAAUCCAGCCUUAGAUUGAAUAAAAUCAUGAAAAUUUUCUUGAUACGUAGCCCCGCGCAUGGUUCGAGCAGCGCUGACUGAGCCAUGGCAGUAGUGGACCCCCCUCAUAAUUAUUUGCUACUCUCUCCAUCCCAAAUUGUAAGUCAUUUCAAGAAUCUUGAAGAGUUAAAUCAUCUCAAGUUAAUAUACAAAAUACUAUGAAAAAUACUAUAGAAAAUACUAUGAAAAAUUAUAGAAAAAAAUUAUAAAGUUUUGUGGCAUCAAAUAGAUAUACUAUGAAAAUAUAAUUAAUAAAGAACUUAAUGAUACUUAGUUAAUAUCAUAAAUGUUAUUAUCCUAUUAUAUAAAUUUGGUCAAACUUGAAAUGAUUUAACUCUCCAAGAUUCUUAAAAUGACUUAUAAUUUGGGAUGGGGGGAGUAUUAUUUUCGUUCUCAUUAGUAGCAUGGACACCACCUCGAGGAGGACAAGCAGCUAGCAUCAAUUGAUCACAAAAGCGUGACUUCAGUCUUGAGUCAUCAGGCUCCUACUCUCAAAACAAAUAUAUUUUCUAAAGUUAUCCAAAUUAAGUUAAAUUAUCUUAAGUUUAUCUAGAUUCGUAGAAAAGAGUACAAAUAUUUUUGACACAAAACAAUAUUAUUAAAUAUAUCAUAAAAUAUAUUUUCAUUUGUUAGUUUUCUUCUAUAUAAAAUUGGUCAAUUUUAAAAUAGUUUAACUUAGGACAACACUUAGUUAAUUUAUUGCUAAGAUGGGAAAUAUUUUCUCUCACAAACAAAUGAAAGCUUUGCAAAUUUUUCUAAGAAUCUGCUUAGCACAUGUUUCAUUAAGAAAAAGUUAGGAAACAUACACACCUGAUAUGACAUCAGAGUAAUAUGCCAUUAGUGAUGGGAUAGAACAUAAAUAAAAGGCACCAUACGAACUUGCUACACCACAACACCGUAUCAUCGUCAAACAUCUAACGCUAAAAUUUAUAUUUAUCGAUGGAUAAUCUAUCGCUAAAGAUAACUUAGAAACUAUCUGACGCUAAUUUCUUAUUUAGUGAUUAAUUGUCUGUCGCUAUAGGUAUUCAUAUUUAGUGUUAGCUCGUCUGUCGCUAAAACCAGAUACAGCGUAGAUCUAUGUGACGCUAAAAAAAUAAGCCCAUGCAUACCUAGCUCAGGCGCAGCACCUCCAUCUAGCUCAUGCCCAAAAUUUAGCUUGGCCCAGCCCACCAUGACAACUUAUUUAUACUUAAUUGUGGAAACGUAAAGUUGACUUAUUAUUUAAUAAUGAGGCUAUUAGCUUUAGUAUUAAAUUAACCUUAAGAAGAUCAUAAAUAUUUGUUAUAGCCUUCCUUAAUUAAGAAUGUCUAAAACUUUGCAUUAUGCCCAAGAAUGAGCCUUAUAAGUGUGACUUAGAACAAUAAUUAAACAUAGUCUUAACUUAACUGGAGAAAAGAGAUUUAAACUUAUGGGAGGAAUAAUAUAUUAUGCUUACGAAAUAAAACUUAUUUAUAUAUAUAUACUUAUUGAAAAAAGCUUAAAUAAAUAUACUUAAUAAUGAAACAUAGUCUUCACUUUAACUAUUAUUAUUCUUAACCACUGAAAUAUUUGAAUAAUUAAAUAAUUCUCAAAUUAAGAUUUUCCACUUGGUUCCAAUCUAUCUAGAGAAUAUUUCUUCAUGUUCACAGUGAAAUCAACUAAUAUUUAUUUGCUAAGUCUUAGUGCUAACUAGUGCAUUAUUAAAUAAUAGAGAAGUUUAUUGAAAAGCAGUGUAAAAAGGAAACUUAUUUUUCCUUUUAGAAAAAAAGGAAACUUAUUUUGGUCCGACUUUGAAUUUAGCUCGUCUUGUAGCGCAGCAUGCAACCGUGCAUGGGCCUGAGGUGGUAAAGGCUAUUUUGAGCCGACUUAAAACAUACUUUCUAGACGAUAAGACAUACUUCUAAACGAAUCAUUCAUCCCCAAAAUUGCAGACUUUGGAAUGGCAAAGUUCUUAGGUAGGGGGUUCAACAGGGCUUUAACUACAAUAAGAGGAACCAUAGGAAACCUUGCACCUGAGUGGAUUAGCGGAGAGGCAAUCCACACUAAAAGUUGAUGUUUACAGCUAUGGAAUGCUUUUAUUGGAAAUUGUUUCAGGAAGGAAGAACUCACAUAGAGAAUGGUGAUGAUGAUACUUAUUUCCCUGUGCUAGUUGCAAGCAAGCUUCUUGUGGGAGAUAGUGGAAGCUUGGUGGAUCACAAAUUACAAUGUGAUGUCAAUCUAAACAAAGCUGAAAGAGUUUGUAAGGUUGCCUACUGGUGCAUUCAAGACAAUGAGCUGAAUUGACUAAUGAUGGGUGAAGUGGUUCAAGUUCUUGAGGGUUUAAUAGAACUAGGCAUUCCUCCAAUGCCAAGGCUACUUCAAGCUAUAGAAGGCUCUCAUUCGGCAUGAGCGUAGUUAUUAUUUACCAAAGAAAAUAACUUUUUCAUUAGCAGUGAUAGGAUUAGCAUUUAUGUUGUUUUUUACAAGAGAAAAUAAUUUUAUGGUGCUUGGAGAAAAAAUGACAAUGAUUCAUUCAGCAAGAUCUAAAGGUGGAAAAAUAAGAGAAACUCAUUAAAAAGAACUUAAGUUAUGAGCCGAAACCAUAAAUUAGUGGGCUAGGAACUAAAUGCAAAUUUAUUUUAAAGGGUACUUACAUAACUAGGUUUAUCUGAUUCGAUCCAACUCAAACAAUGCAAACCUCAGGCCGAUUCACUGGCCAUGGACGUUGUCUUCUCGGCGGCGGCGGCCGUCAAUCCCCUUUCUUGCUGGCGCUCCCUUCCCUCCUCUUAUGCAACCAUGCCGACCCUGGGGAGCGCAUCGGCCUCUCGCGAUCGCCAACCGUCCCUGCCAUCUUUCCCCAGAGAAGCCGAUCGAGCAGGUGAACGCCGUCAAAUCUGGGCAGAUGGGCGCGCGAUGGUCUGCGGGCAGGCAAGCGGCAGCGACAAGGGCGGCAUGCGUCCGCUAGUGGGCUCCAGGAAGGCAAGCCACGGCGACCUUUACAAGGUGGGCGACGAGGGGCAAUGGGCUACGGCCUACGGGCAGCCAGCCGGUGGCAAUGGGGCAAAAUCGUCAUUACUCAUUAGAGACUAAAGUCAAACUGUCAAAGUACUAAAAUACCCUCAAAUCAAAUAUAAUUAAUGAACUUUUUACAUCAUCAACGACUACUAAUAGAUACGCUGGUGGAACCACCUGUUCCUUCCAAACAUAGGAACAAAAACCUCUUUUUUAUAAAACUUAGAGCAUCUUCUCGAGUUUAGUAAAACAACUUUCUAUUUUAAUUUUUAGUAAAAAUAGAAAAAAAAGUCUCUUUCAACAGUUUGGUAAAAAAGAUACUUAAAAAUAAAAAGUUGUCAAAUAUCCUCCACAACUCAUAAGUUUGCAAAGUGGAGUGAACUCUCUAUCCCUCUAGUAAAAAAUAUGAUCGGCUUUAGUAAACCAAAAAAUAACAAACAGAUGUGGACUCUACUAUAAAUUUUUAAAUUUUAGAAAGCUAUUAUAGGUUACUGUUGGAGAAGAACAAAAUUUAAAGUUGUUAUUUCUUUUAUUAACUUCCUAGAUCUAUUAGUUUAGCAAGUAAAUUAUAUCAAACUCUUGGAGAUGCUCUUAUAGGAAGUGGAAUAUAUAGUUAUGACAGUUACUUACAAUAAAUUCAUCAUAUCAACGUGUUCGCUUAAGAUUAUCUGCCGAAUCUACCAGUCAUUCACUAGUAUUUGUCUUUCUAGUUGUAACACCCCAAAAGAGAAAAGACUACAACCUUCUUAAGUAUUACCACAUUAUACUUCAACAAAAACAUAAUAACAAAGAACGUUGAACAUCAGUGACCAUAUAGAUUCAAUGAUAAAGGGAGACUUUAUUGAUUCUAACUAACAUAACAAGCUACCAUAAGCUCCAACAUAAGCCAUCUCUAUUAUUACAGAAGAAAAGUUUAUUUGUGGUAUAAGCCUAGCUUUUUCUCUCCUCCCCUUCUUCUCCUCCCCUUCUUCUCUUUCUCCGGUUAUUUUCUCCCGAGCACAAGUGAGAGGAGCAGCGGCUCUAGAUUUGUGGGGGCCAGACUCUAAUUUAGAUAGAGGAAGGAUUUCAACUCAAACCAAGAAAAUAAAAAUCUGGAUUUAUUAUUGUAGCAUGUGGUUAUUGUACCACUUUUCGCCAGUGCCUUGAGCACCUUUGUCAUCCAAAUUCUAGACAUGUUCUCUCAAAAAAAAAUCCAAAUUCUAGACAAAACAUGUGGGUAGUCAAACAGAUUCGGUACACGCCCAUAGCCUCUUUAAAACACAUUUAUUCCCUAAGUAUUCAUGGGUGUUACACUAGUGCAAUUAUUUGGUGUUCUAAAUAAAUAUAUUUACUCUUAAGUACAAAAAAAUGAUAAUCACCAUUAAACUUUGAAAGUAAGAAAAAUCAGAAGUACCAAACAGUAAAGCACGCCCUAUGAUGCGCUAGGGUAUAGCAAACCAGUGAAGCAAUAGCAGCAUUGACGUAAACAACGGAAGUGCAUAAGCAGAUUCAGACUGACAACCCAAACAAAUAAAGGGAAUAUGAUAUGAUCAUUGUAGUGCAUUGACGUAAAGACGAAAGUGCAUAAGCAGAUUCAAACAUAAAAUCAAAAGGUACAAUGGCAUGAUAUGAUCAUUGUAGUUUGAUUGUUUGAUCCUCGUUUACUCAGCAGCCUUCUGGCUAGACAACUCACUGUGUCAGAUGAAAUGAAAAACACAACAAAACUAUCUGUGUACAAAAAAGAAUGUAACCCAAGACUGAAAACAUAUUCAUAAAAUCAAGUAUACAUCUAAUGUCAAUAAAGGCAAAAAGAAUAUCCAGGCCCUUGAUAAAAAAUCACACAUUAAAACAUCACUCAUUUUGAUGAAAAAAAACCAUGUAAUUGAGCGAUUCCUUUUUGCAGGGCAUGAACAAUCUGGAAGCUCCAAGUGGCUUGCUCUGAGCAGAUUCUUUGGAAUGGGGUUAUGAGCAACAUAGCUAGAGUGACUGGCGCACACAACAUCCACUGUGUCAGACAAUACUUGGAACAUCUCCAGCCCAGCUACAAACAGCUCGUGGCCACCGUGUCCUAAUGCAGUCCACCAAUGGUGCAUGCUGAUUAGUCUGAACUGGGGGAGCUAGAGAAAGAAUACUAUCAUCCUUGCUGCUGCUGCUGGUUGAUGCGCUUACAACAUCAGCCAGAUACUCAUCUUGAGUCCACCUUGGAGGGACAGUGACAUUUAGUUUGCAUAACCUGGGUCUCUGUAUAGGGCAUGAGCCACCUGCACUUGCAUUCCCAUUCAGCACAGACUUGGCAAUUCCAUUGAAGUGGAAGAUGGUGAAUUGCUUCUUGCCCAUAAGGCCAGUUGGAUCCUUCAUGCCUCCAGCCCUUUUAUCCAAUUGUAGCAAUGCCUGCCAGAAUUCACUCCAUACUAUAAUGCCAGCAUUACAUAGGUCCUCAAGUUUAUCCGAAGGAAAAUUUAUGUCAGUUUCCCGGAGGACUUGUUGGAAGCCCUCAACGCUGAUAAAGCCUCCACCUCCACUUUGAUCUUGGGCAUCAAAAGCCCUCCUUAUUUUCGAUUCGCGCUCUUCCAGCUCAUUCUCCUCUUGAACAUUGGGGUUUAGGGCGAAAAGGACAGUGUAGUGACUUUCACUUCCCACAACCCAUAUCGGCCACUUUGGGCACUUCAAGUACUGACCAACCUUGCAGAGAUUUAGUGAUUCCAGGAGGGUAAGAAAACCAACUUCAACAUUGUUUGGUAUGCCCUUCAAGGACAUGCCACCACCAAGGUCCAUCUUGCCAUCAAAUACAUUUGGAACAGCCUCUCCACAGAGUAAUAAAUUUACAAUUUCCUGAAAAGAAAAUUAAGUCGCUGUAUCUUAUUUGGCCAGAAUUGUAUUAAUAAUGAUGAACAAUGUGCAAAAUAAAUAGAGAAUAAAAUGUUACUAUAUUUUAAUAAACAUAGUACUGGCAAAUAAUAUCUUAUAUCUGUUAUGACAUUUAAUAUUCACAUAUCCAAGAGAGGCCACAUUAUUAACUGCCAUGACAUGUCUGUCACAUCUGCUAAAGAAAAUACUCCAUCUCAAAAUACAAGGUGCAAUUUGACUUGAUGCGGUAUUCAAGGUCACACUUUGACCACUGAUUUCUCUUUCACAUAUAUAAUUUGUGGUAACAAAAGUUUGGUUGCUAUAAAAUAUUUCUAUACAAAUCCAAUGUAAUCACUAUUGUAGCAUAAACUUUCCAUAGAAUUAGACUAAUCACUAUUGUAGCAGAAACUUUCCAUAGAAUUAGACUAAUUGUUGGUCAAAGAUAACAAAGUUUGAAUUUUGAAAUAUGUGCAGCCUAAUGUUUUGGGACAACCGAGUAUGUUUAUGACAAUGAUAUCUAUACCUGUGAAGCAUGGCCAAAUGGAGCAGUGACCAAUGGCUGGCUCGGAUCAUCCCUGUCUGCUUGGAUAUCUUCCUGUACUUAGAGGACAGUUAUACAUGGUCAGAAAAUGAAGAUAGUGUUGACAUUGUUCAACAAACAGGUUGAUGGGCACUUAACAAAUGAAAACUUAUUUUUCCCUACAACUUAAGGUUGAAAAACUUUGUUUUAGACUAGAACAUAAGAUUGGGUCAAGAGGGGACAACCCUCAUGAAAGCAAGUUGAGAACUUUAGUACUGAUAAACACAUACCAAUCCUCGUGAAAGCAAGGCAGAGAUAAGAAAUAGCAUGGCUCCAAGUCGACUUUCAAACAAAGGAAUGUUAGCCAAAAGGGUAAUGAAUGCAUCCUUCCUUGAAGUAAAUGUACUUGUUCUAAGAACUUUCUGCAGAUCCAUUGCUGAUUCGACAGAAAGAUCUUCCAAAACAGCAUCGAUUUUCUGCAAUAAGUUUCAUAAGAGCAUUAGCCACAUCCAAAUAUAUCAAAGAUUAUAAUCAAAUCAUCACCACCACAUCCACUUACUCCACGAUUGGCACGUGCAACAGAUGCUACAACAGCUCUUUUCCCAGUUCCACAUAAAAAAAGAAUCUCCACCAUAGCAUGAACCAAUGCUCUACAAAGAACAUCAUCAGUGACAGUUAUUUAGCUUAAAGAAAAAUAUCAAGUGUGCAUUGACGUAUAUCCUAGUGUAUAGUGUUAGUGUAUAACACAAAACAGAUAUCGAAUCAUUUGGUCCCUCCAACAAAUACAUGUAUAGGUUUCUUUAGAGUAAUAAUUCAAAAAUUGUGUGCAUUCAUUGAAUCCAAAAUGCCAAUAUUUCAGCAUUCCAUAAGAAUAGUGGCUCGUACAAAACACUGAACAGAUAAAUAAUGACAUUAAAAUUCUGAAAUCAGCACCAUUUGUAAGGAACGAGAAACCACCUUGUCUUUCUAUCAUCAGUCAGGGAUGAAAAAUCAUCCCCUGCAGCAAAAGAACUCUGAUAAAAGCGUCUUUGUCCCAGAGUAUAUAGCGGGUUACUGAACUCUGGAUUACUCAAGUCAUCAGGAAAAAACAGAAGAUAUUUAAGGACAUAAGCCUGCAAAACCAAUUAUAAGCUACCAUCAGAAAUGUUAAGCUUGCAGAGAACAAAAGGAAUUUAGCAACAGGCAAUGAAGUAGAAAGUCAGAUUAUUGAAAGACCAAUAAACUUUAAAAUCAGAUGGGGACUUCAUGCAUACAAAAGGGUAUAUACUUGAUAAGCUAUCUUAGUUUUUUUAAAAAAAAAAAUGAUGCAACAAUUGGAUCUAAAAGGGUAUAUACUUGAUAACCUUAUCUCCUCAAAGCAUGUCUUUCUGGACUUCAGAUUAUAUAUAAAAAAAGGAUUUCUUUCAUCAGGAUGGCUCUAAAUGAUACUACGAAGUUGAAAGAGAAACAUUAUACCAAUGUGAACAUUCUUUAAGGUAGUUAAGUCAAAAGAUUUUGGUGUUGCAGCUUCCACUUGGCAGGAGGGGAAUAUUAGCAGUUACCAUUUUAUCAAUUUAUUAAAUGAUAUCUAGAAUACAUAAAAGCAACAUAUUUUUUCAUUAAAUUAAAAUUUUUAAUCCAUAGCACUGAUAACAAAAUGUCAGAAACUAGAAACAGAACAUUAGAAGUUCACAUUUUAGGGCACAAUGAAAUUUUGAGCAGAAGAUCAGGGAAUGGGAAGCUUUCUGCCCCCAGUAUAUGCCACAAGCUACAUUCAAGUAGUUUGAACUAGAUAGAAAAAGUGUAAGAUGCACCAAUGGUCCUUAAACUUGUACCUACUCCCUGAAAGCUUACAAAAUGAAGAUUUAGGUACCUUAACUUGUUAAGUGUGAUACUUGAGCUUCAGAUCUCCUUAAUUAGCAAGUACAUACAUGUUAUUGCUGAUUUAGCAGUUCUUGAGGCAGGCUACAGUAGGCAAGCAUUUGAACCUCAAGUCGCACACUUAAUAAGUUAAGAACCAAGAUCUCCAUAUUAAAAAUUUAGGGACCUAGAUAGCACCGCUAAAAAGUUUAGGGGCCUAGAUAGCACCGGUUAACAAUUUCAUGAGCCACUGGUGAAUUUGACCCUUAAGAAAAUGGAGGCCUUAGGAUGGGAUAAGACACCUACACAUGUCCAGGAAAUCUUUGAUCAGUUGCCCUUCAUGACAAGAAUUAUCAGAUUAAACUUUUUAUUUUAUUUUUUUCUAUUGUCAUUUGGAGAAUUCACACGAUCCGAAACAAAAUGGCAAUAGUAAAAUGUUUUCUGGGGUCAUCCAAUGAGGUAUUUUAUUUCUUUGCUUUAUUGCAGAAAUAUCGCAAAUUAAUGAAGGGGGGGGGAGAUGUAAGUUCUUGGAAAACAUGGUCGACAAGGUGAAAGAGUGACUACAGAAUUUCUAGCAGCAAACUGAGAAUAGAUUGAAGGGAUCAUCUAAAAAGAUUUUCUGUGUGGAGAGUGAAACAUUCUGUGGUCUGAUUCAUGUGUUUGCUUUGCUCUCUUAUUUGGAACCAAAGGCCUUGAAGCACAAGGAAGGAGGGCACUAUCCUGAUUCCUGAAGCCGGUGCAGUUGCAGAAAGGAGCAUCAUUAAUUUUUCCUUUUUAGCUUAGUCUUCUCUGGGUCCUGUGGACCUGUUACCUUUUUAGCUGCUAAGGUUGUUUGCUCGCUUUUAGCAAGUCAGGGGGGCUUCUAUCUUUUUUUUCUCAAAAACGCAGGAGAGCUGCGCUUCAUUAUAUUAAGAAGAAAUAAAGGGCCUAGAGCCCUACAACACACACCAAACACAAACCCCACACUUCAGGGUGUUUUUGUGUUUUCUCUGUUUUGGCCGGUGCUAUGCACAGCGCUUUCAGGUUUCUAUGCUUUUGUUGUAAGCUGGUAUCCCCAGCCACUCUGUAAGCAGGGCUUACCUCCGUCAAAAAAAAAUGAAUGUCACAUACCUGCACGGUUGCUAAGACACCACAAGGACCUCCUUCAUGUUGUACAAGCCCCAUAGUAGUUUCUGGGUCGGAGCUAAACCUGCAGUUUUUUUAAACAACAGUAAGGCAAAGAGGAAUAUGUGUCCUUCAGUUCUGUAGUGAAAAGCAUAAUAUGUUUGGCACUGUUUUUAUAUCCAAGCAACUUUGUGCACAUGCAACAAAAAGUGCAAGAGUGUAAAUGUUGGUACUUGGUACUUGGCCUUGUGCUUGUCAAUCCGAAGAAGUUUCUAGUAAAUGACUAGAGCAAGCCACAGACCACGAUGACAAAUAAAUUAAUUAUAGCACCUUCUUGUGUUCCCUAAGCAGGGAUCAUGGCAUGAGUCUACAUUUGAUCUAUCAUUAGCACCAAGCGCCACUUUACAAAAACACUCGUAACAUCUGUAUUAUAAGUUCAUUACACAACAAAAUAUACACAUCAAACAGUUUCUUUGGUCUGUGAAGACAAUCCAUGGUAGGCCGCUAGCCAUCCAUGUUUUUAAAUGUUACCAAACAACAUUCAAGAUGCUUCGGUUAACUUCCUUAUAUCUUGCUCUCACCAGGCUCCAGAACCAUAAUCCUAGAUAUACAAACUUACUCUAUCAAAAGGUGUUGUUGACUUAGAACCUAAAAUUGGUGUACCCACCUUCAUUAUUAAUAUAAAACAGCUCUUUACUCGAUAUACCUUGGAUAAAUAUCAAAAAAAAAUACAGAAAAAUAGAAAUGCUACUUUGAAAACCAUAGUUAUGGUCUUCAGAAACACUAACAGAGUCGCCUUGAACAUCUCAUGUUAGUUUAACCUUGCUAGCCCGAGAACCAUGUUGGGAACUAUCAAGCAUGGCCUUGUGCUCCAAGAUCAUAUUCAAAGGAAUCUUAAACUAAUAGCGGCCCAUACAUUGUAAGUAGCUAACUACAUACUCAAAACGGGAAACAUAUUUCCAGAUAAGGGAAGGAGGCUAACAAAAAAUGGAACCAUCCAAUGUAAUCACCUUUAUUAACAGAACAAGAGAUACUAGGCACAUAUUAAAUGUGAUGCAGAGAACAAUAAAAAAAAGGCUAAGAAGUAAAAUCAGUUUCUAUUCGUGCAGACACCGUGUAUUUGCAGUGAUACAAGAUAAAAAAAAUAAAGUAAUAGCAGCUCAUACACUGAGUAAGUAGUCCGUUACAUGCUAUUAACAGGAACCAAAAUUUGACCCCUUUUUUUACGGUACUAGCCUAUAUAAAUAUCAAUGCAGUUAAGGGCAAAGCAGUAACGACAUUACAUUAUUAGCCUGCACCCUGUGUUUGCAGGUAUACUUAGUACUUACUAUACAUAAUAUGCGUGCCUCAUACUUUAGCAAUGCAGGGAGUGGUUAUUGACAUGCAACAGCUCUGUUCUCAACCUAUUCUAACUCAAACAGUCUACACUAUAAGAUCUAGACUUUAGUGCAGUUCAGCAUGCCUACAUGCCAAUGGUAGAACCAAUAACGAAUCUCAGAUACACACACCCUUUAGCCAUCGUCACAAAACUACACAGGAACAACUUCUGCCCAUAGAUAACCAGAUUGUCACUCAUCAUCCUUUCACCACCAAGCACUUAACACCCAGCCCAUUGGUUUUCGCAAGCAAUAUAGAUGCUCAGUCCUCGUGAAGAUUGUAACAGAGGUCUCAACACCCAUCAGCAUGCCCAUCAGAAACACAAAUGGCAUGAACAAGCAAACUGCACUCUUGUGGCAGACCACAGACUGACUACAUCUUCAUCAGAACAGAAAUGUAGUGAUCAGAGUUGUGUCUUGUUACUUUAUUAGCUCCAAUAACUAGAUGAAAGCUACAAAUGUCCUCCACCAAAAUCCUUAUCUACAAGCAAACCAAGGCAUAGCUUACACGCACAAGGAUCGGAAGAGACAAUAGCGAGUAAAAGAACCUCACCUUAUGCCCUGAUUACUCCACUGCGCCAAGACCGCCUUUGAAACCCCUCCGCCAAACACCAUUGCCCACAGAUUCUCAGCAACAUCUGGAGGCAACUCCUCCCCUUUCUCUUCCUCCUCCUCCUCCACCACCACCACCUCCUUGGCUUCCUCCAUAGAUACGCCAGCUUGUUCCGGCUCCUCCUCCUGCGCUUUGGUGGCCUCCGGGGCGGGGGUGGGGGAGGGGACUGGCUCCACCACCACCGGCUGCGGAGAAGACCGCGCCAGCGAGACGGCGGCCGGUGAAGCGGCGGCGCGGAGGCGCUUCUCGGCGGCGGCGGCCAUGAGCUCACGCUGCUUCCGGCGCGCCUCCGCCUCGGGCGACUCCGCAGCGGGGGGCGGGGGCUUGCUGCGCUUGGGCUCGGGCUGCGCCGGCGGGGAGCCCUGGAGGCUCAUGCGGAGUGCCAUCUGGAGCUCCUCGUCCUCCUCCCGAUCCCCCAUUGGAGCAGCUCCCGCCGAGACCUAGCCGGAUCGAUCCGGCCCCCAAACCCUAGGGCGGGCCGGGGGUUUGGCGCCUGCGCCUCGGGCCCCGUCAGAGGCCCCGAGCUGGGAACAGGGUAGGGAUGCGACAAGAGAAUGGAAUCUGGGCGCGGGGCAUCGGGAUCCGGGAAGUGGCAGCGGCUGACGCGGCCAGAGUGGCGGCGUAUUUGUAGAGGCGGGGUCGUCUCGUCGCGGCGGCGAGGCGACGGGACGGGACGGGGUGGUGUCAGAGAUGCCUUGGGCCCAAGGACUCGGCUCCUCCGGGGACUGCGCUCCAACUCCCCAGCCAAGCUCUGCUCGUACGCGUGAGUACCCGCCUGCCUGCUCCAGUCGUCGCCCGGGUAUCGACGAUGACGUGUGGGGACGGGUUAUAUAGCCCAUGGGAUUCUGUUUCAAGGUACUCCAGUAACGGUGAUCGGUGUUAGCUUCGGAGUUUGGGCCGGGCAGAAUGUGCGAAAAUUCUUUUUGAGCUUACGCGUGUGAACGGAGUAGUAAGGUUUUGUUUAGGGCUUGUUUAGUUCCAAAAAAUUUUGCAAAAUUUUUCAAAUUCCUCGUCACAUCAAAUCUUUAGACACAUGCAUGAAGUACUAAAUAUAGACAAAAAUAAAAACUAAUUGCACAAUUUGGUCGAAAUUGACGAGAUAAAUCUUUUGAGCCUAGUUAGUGCAUGAUUAGACAAUAUUUGUCAAAUAGAAACGAAAGAGCUACAGUGUCCAUUUUGCAAAAUAUUUUGAAACUAGGCCUUGUUUAGGCCUUGCCAAAAAUUUUUGUAAAAUAGGAAUAGUAACACUUUCGUUUGUAUUUAACAAAUAUUGUUCAAUUAUAAACUAACGAGGCUCAAAAGAUUCGUCUCGUCAAUUCCGAUCAAACUGUGUAAUUAGUUUUAAUUUUCAUCUAUAUUUAAUACUCCAUGCAUACGUCUAAAGAUUCGAUGUGACGGGGAAUCUGAAAAAUUUUGCAAAAUUUUCAGGAAGUAAACAAGGCCUUAGUUCCAAAAAAUUUUGCAAAAUAGUAAUAGUAGCACUUUCGUUUGUAUUUGGCAAAUAUUGUCCAAAUAUAGACUAACUAGGCUCAAAAGAUUUGUCACGUCAAUUCCGAUCAAACUGUGUAAUUAGUUUUAAUUUUCAUCUAUAUUUAAUACUCCAUGCAUACGUCUAAAGAUUCAAUGUGACGGGAAAUCUGAAAAAUUUUGUAAAAUUUUUCAGGAACUAAACAAGGCCUUAGAUGAAAGUUUUUGGAUUUCGCUAACUAGGACUCGCGAUUUGCAGACAAACUGUAUAAUUAGUUUUUGUUUUAUUAUAUUUAAUACUCUAUGCAUGUGCCGUAAGAUUCGAUGUGACGGGGAAUCUUGAAAAGUUUUGGGUUUGGUGGUGAACUAAACAAGGCCUUAGCCAACUAAACUAUUUUUAGUUACUUUUGGAUGACUAGUGGAACUAAAUUAUUUUAGCUCCUUUUUAGUCGGUAUAUUUAGAAGUUUAGCUACCAAAGUGACUAAGGCCUUGUUUAAGGUGUGUUUGGUACUGCUCCGCUCCAGUUUUUCCAGCUCUGCGUUGCCAAAUACGUCUAGCUCCACGAACCCCGCUCUGUAAAAAAGGUGGAGCUAGAAGCCAGCUCUAUGUUUUUCCUGGAGUACCUCAACGGGUACUUCAGUUUGUAGAGUUUGGUACUCCCACGUAGAGUUGUGAGGUAAUUACCCAUCUUGCCACUCAUUAAUCACGGAUUAAUUCUCGUAAACGCUUUCCCUCUCGAUAUCGUGACCUCAUUUCUUCUUGUGCAUGCCGCCCUCGUCUCUUCACCUGUGCGCCGCCCCUAUUAAUUAUUUAUAUUUUAAUUAUGAUCUCUAUUAAUAUUCUAUCAUUUGAUUUCUAUUUGGUCAUAAAAUAUCAAAAGCAAUUUCGAUCAUGGUAUAAUGGACCAUUUGCAUGGAAAUAAUCCAUUUCUGAAGCUAGAGCAGAGCUGUGUGCCAAACAGUACCUCCUACUCCAUAAACUUCACGGUGGAGCUGCUCCAUGGUGGACUUCGUGGAGCAGAGCUGUAAAAUUUGGAGCGGAGCAGUCCCAAACACCCACUUUUCCCAAAAAGUUUUGCAAAAAAUUCAGAUUCUCCGUCUCAUCAAAUCUUGCGGAGCAUGCAUGGAGCUUAAAUAUAAAUAUAAAUAAUAACUAAUUACACAAUUUACAUAUAACUUACGAGACGAAUCUUUUGAGCCUAGUUAGCCUAUGAUUAGACAAUAUUUAUCAAAUACAAACAAAGUGCUACAGUAUCCAUUUUGCAAAAAAAAAGAGAAACUAAACAAGGUCUAAAGUUUUGUUGGCUAAAAUUUAGCAAGGGGACCAAACAUGCCCAAUAACUUCGGUUUGGCAAAUUAUUGCCUAGGUCAGCAAGGAGUACGAUUAUAGUGUUUAAAUAAAUUUUGUUUAAAAAAUGUCACUGCAAAUAAAUGUAUAGAUUCCUCCUAAGUACUCUCUCCAUACUUAGAAAAAAAUGAAGUCGUUUGCUAUAGAUUGUAUUAAGUGGUAGUUGAGAUUACGUUGGUUGUGUUAUUUGCUUGUUACUAUUGAUAGCUGUCGCCACUUAGAUGUCUAGGAGCGAGUAGUGGAACUUUGUCGAAGCAUUCAAAUGAGGAUUGUGACGUGCUUCAGAAGUGAUGUGUGAAAGGCUCUUGUUCUCAUUCUCGCCGAAGUAAGCAAAUAGAAGCUUUAGUAGAAUAAAAUUGUUGAAAGUCCUUUUUCUAAUAGUGCUAGUUUAGAGAUGGAGCCCUCAAGUGGAAGAGGCAAUCUUACGGGUUGAGUCGAGAGAAGCGGUAAUCCUAGGAUUGAACUCAAUAUGGACAUAUGAAACCGGUUAAGUUAGGGGAUAUAUCUUUGUGUCAUGUCCUUUGUGUUGUAUUGAACAUUCUACUCCUAUGCAUUAUUUUAUGUUGUUCAUUUCUUAGGGUUUGUCAUCCUAAGAAGCAAACCAAGCUAGUUUAUCAAUUCUAAUGACAUAGCUUAGUCCAUAUAUCUGAGACCAAAAUUGACUAGGUUGUUCAUCACACUAGGUUUCCAUAACACUAGAUAGUGUAGAUUUAUUAGGGCCUCUUUUAUCUAGUAGUGUUUGUGCUGCAAGAAAUUUUUAUUAGGCUACUCACCCACUUAACCAUUCGUAGAUCCUUUCAACCAUGAUGGCUAUAGUAACUGCCACCAUGACGUCUACAUCGUAGUCAACUGCUCCCUUCACUACCACGCCACUGUUAUUGCCUCUGCCACUAGAUCAAGAGCUUGAGGCUGCAAUUGGGGUGCUAGACCGGUCUCCAACAAUCUCUAGGUCCUACUCAUCAAUCAUCAUCAAGUCCACUGAAUAACAAAACGCAAACACCAAAGCCACAGUCAAUGAGGACAAUGACAUAGUAGGUCAUCGUGCAUGGUGUAGAGAGCAAGCAUGUCAAUCAACAGUCAUAGUGUGGACCUGCUCAGCUUCAGUAUAGAUUUGGCCGACAAACCAUGCACCCGCUCAGGUCCUAAGUAGUCAGUGAAGUGAUGAGGGCAGCCCCACGUGCUGCUAAAAAGGAAGGGCAACCUCGCGACACCGAUGAAGGGAGGACUCGUUGCAUGCCAUUGCCAAAGGGAGAGUACACGACGCCGCACACCGAUACCAAAGGAGAAGCCCCCCUCAUGUGCAUUAUCGAAUCCUAUGUGGAUGGAGUCGACGUCGCUAGAUCUGCAUUGGUUUGGCGAGAGAAAGGGGGAGAGGGGGAGAGAGAGGAGUUACAAUUAGUGAUGAAAGAGAUGGAGAGGCUUAUAGUGAGACUUAUUAAGUUUUGGUGGUGGGCGAGACUUAAAGGCUAUUGAACUAGUUGUGGGUUUGGCCUUAUUAAUAGAGACAAACCUUUUAGUAGGUCUGUCUUUAAAAAAUAUGCUAUAUUUUUGUAAAUGAACUAGACUCGUCUCUAUUAAUCAAUCUAUAUCUCUUAUAUAGAUAAACCCCACUAGCUAAUUUUCUUGACAUGCAAAGCAUCCACAUCAUCAUCCACUAGAGCAUCCCACUAAUUAUUUAUCUUGCCACGCAAAGCGUCCAUAUCAAUACCCACUAAAUCAUCCCACUAAUAUAUUACCCCACCAUGCAAAGUGUUCACAUCAUUAUCCACUAAUAAAUCGAACUAACACAUAUCAUUUAUCUUGUGUCUAUGUUAUUCACAUUAGCAAACCACAUCAUUUUCUAACAUAUAUUUAGUUGUCCAUGCUAAAAUACAUUAGUGAAUAAUUUUUAGUAUUUUAGCAUGGACAAAGAUAGUAUAAUUUUGCCGGUAAUUCCCGCAGCAAAGCGCGGAGCAUUCUCCUAGUUUAUAGAGAUGAGAUCGCCUCCUAAAAUAGACCAUUUGCCUUUGAAAUUAACUAUGUAUUUUUGGACACACAAAAAUUUUUAGUCCAUCUCAGAAAUAAAAUGCACUAUCUUCUAAAAUCAUUAUUUAGCAGUACUAGCACAAGUGUGUGCCCGUCUUUUUCAUCUAAAUAGGAAUUAAUUUUUUCAACUUUUUUAAGGCAUACUAAUCUUAGUGGGGGCUUAUUUUCAUGUCCUAGUUUUCAAGAUUUUCAUGUAUUGCAAAAUAGUGUAGACUAGUUUCAUCCCUUUGAAAUUAUGAUCAUCUCUCUCUUUGUUUACAUUAUCACUGAUUUUAUUAAGUUAGUAGCUUACCUAAUGCCUAUGAAACUCUCAUAGAACUGGGCUAAAUGCACAUGCUCAGAUGCAUAAUUAGUGGUGAUCCACGGAUCUUGAUUAGAUUGUCCAAAGAGCACGCAGUAACUAGGACCAUCGCUUCUGGCCUUUUACACCUCUGAGCGAAGAGUGCAAUGUGCAUGCUAGAUUGCUAGUUGCUAGAGUACCGCAACAAGGUUGGGAUCAGACAAGAAAGCCUCGUCUUACUAGUCCAUCAUGUUGUUUAGCACUUAAAAGAAUUUUAAGAGUCUAUCUAUAACUUUCCUUAUUUAUAUAAAAAAACCCACCAACAACUCCUUUAAUUAGAACUCUAAAUAUUGUCAUUCUCUAUUUUAAAUUUUUCGGUGGCCAAAGAUGAAGAAGAUUUUGACUCUCUAGAGUGCCCAUAAGAUAUAAAAAAAAUAUUAGAGGGUAAAAGACAUAGAGACCGACUUUUGUUCAAAUGGCUUUCGAGAUUUUCCAGAGAGUUUAAUAAAGACUUAUAGAUAUGCUCUAAGGACCUAUUUGGUUACUGCCUUAGUAGACAAAUGACGGGCAUAUAACAAAUCUUGAUCACACCAUAGUUUUUAGGACCGGACCGGAAAUCGAACCGGCGAGGCCGUCGAUUCAAUGGUUGAAUGGUCCAACCGUUAGGAACCGGUUGAACCGCCGGUUCGAUUGUUUUGAACCGGACAAAUCGAACCGGCCACAAAAUAAUUGAACCGGUAUAUAUAUAUAUAUAUAUAUAUAUAUAUAUACACAUAUAUAUAUAUACAUAUAUAUAUAUAUACAUCCUAGGUGUAGAAUACUAUUCUACAUCAAACUGUUAUACUGAGCAGAAUUCAGUAUCAUUGAGUAUUCGUGUUUCGGUAUUGUUCAAUAUUUCGUGGUCCUGGGUGUAGUGUUGGAUGAUACUGAACGAUGUUCAGUACUACUUAAUAUUUUUUCAGGUUAGUUUUGACUUGCGGUGUAGAAUAAUAUUCUACACCUAGGGUAUAGAAUAGCGCUACCAUAUGCAAAUGCAACGACAUGUUCUUAACAUAUUAUAAACAGAAAGUGAAGUAGUGAAGAAUAUCAAUAUUGAUAACAUAGCUUUCAGCUUAACACAUAGUUUAUAAUUUCAUAUUCAUAGUUCAUAAAAACAGUCACGGGCUCAUGGCUAGCAAGGCAGCAACACAACCUCACAGGUUCUUUAAUACAAAAAAUAACAACAUGCAUGAUGCCGUGAUAAACUGGUAACAAAGUUCCAAACAAGUUCAUGCUAAAAAGACAAUCACGAACACAAACAACAGACAUUUCCCUCCCCAAGCUGCCCAGCGCCAAAAGAAGUCCUAAAGAUGCAAUUUCCAUGAAUACCUCUGAGUAGACCAUGUCGUUCUGAACAUCCAGAGGAGUAACUUUGGAAAAACUCAAAACAUCACCGGUUCGCAUGAAACCGCCCGGUUCACUGGUUUGACCGAAAAACCGGCCGGUUCAACCGGUUUUCACCGGUUCGAUUGCAUUCCGAUCCUUUAAGGUGAACCGGACCGGUGAAGGCUCCGGUUCGGUAUUUUACCGGUCGAACUGCCGGUCCGGUCCGGUUCAAAUAACUGAUCACACUCAUGGAAAAUAUAGCCCGCUAUUUUUGCCGCUAUAGCCCGAAAUAGCUUGAAAAAAAUUGUGCUGCUAUUUGCCGUUAAAGUACGCUAAUUACGGUUUAUAAAACGUUAAACACUUUGGCCUUAGUUCGCUAUUUAAAACAUGGAUUGGAAUAUAUACAUAUAUAUAUUCACACUGCAUUCAUAUACAUCUAUUAAUAUUGAAAUAUAUACAUAUAUAUAGAAAUUAAUAUAUAUAUAUAUAUAUAUAUAUAUAUAUAUAUAUAUAUAUAUAUAUAUAUAUAUAUAUAUAUAUAUAUAGCUUGAAAAAAAUUAUGCCGCUACUUGCCGCUAAAGUACACUAAUUAUGGUUUAUAAAACGCUAAAUAUCUUGACCUUAGCUUGCUAUUUAAAAUAUAGAUCACACUAGACACUCAAGAUCAAUACGUAAAUUGCGGCUAUGUAAGUAACCAAACAAACUAUAACGUUAGCCAUCCUUCGCUAGAAGCAAGAAUUACGAGAAAGAAGACAAAUAAGAUAGAAAAAGAUAGAAUAAAGACACGAAGUUAAAAACAAAAGGUGGACACAUGGCCAACAAACUAGCAUCGUGGGAAAAAAACUAGAAAGAGCCAUAACCAAAGCAAUAGCAAAAGCAUAGAUGAAAUUCGAUUAUCUCUUUGUUUUUAGAAAUAGGAAGAUAUUUGUAUUUCAACUAUUUUCUCAGGCAUUAAGUUUAUGAUGCGAAAAUUAAGUCGACUUAAGUAUAUAAUAUAUAAAUGGAGUAAUUGGAAAGUUUCACCACCUCUACUCCUUUGUCAAGGGCUGACAUAGUGCAAAUGCACCCAAAAAUAUAAAAACAGUGAGUUUAAUUAAAGUUCCAUCUAUAUGUAUCUUUUAUAAGACAUAGAGCUUAUUCAUUGGUUUGAAAAAUAUUAUUUAGGGGCUGGUUGGUACAGCUCACAACAGCUUCAUGAACUGUUGUGAUCUGUUUUUUUGCCAAACACUUAUUUCCAAAACAGCUUCAUGGGUGAAGUUGUUUUUCUCUCCUCUUACAAAGAUAUAAGUUGAAUGAACCUUGGAAAAAAGUAGCUUAUUGCAGCUUCUCUCUCAUUUCUCUCUCUCAACUAUGCAUGAAGUAGUUGGUGAAGCUAUUUUGCCAAACACUUUUUCCAAAACAGCUCAGCUUCAUCUAGAAAGUCACUCAUGAAGCUAUUUUCUAAAAAAAACAGCUUUACUAGUGAAGUUGAGCUGUGCUAAACAAGCUCUUACUAAUUUAUUAACGUGAAAGAAAAACACUGCGAACCAUAUAUGCCUCCCUGCUCUAGCUUCGUAGUAGUUCAAUAAGCAGCCGUUCACUGGUUAAACGCAAUAGCGUUUCGCGAACAAAUCCGGUGAUCCGUGAGAAAUCCGCUGUGGCCAGUGGGUUAGACAGCCUGACACCUCCCAAGUAGCUGUGCCAACCCAAACACCCACUUCUCCUCGCUCGGGAAGCACCGAUCCCACAUCGGCACAUCCCCGCUCCGAUCCACGCAGAUUCAUCAAGACCAUUUCUCUUGUCUUCAUCAAACACACACACAGACGCACGCACGCGCUCUCUCUCCUUCCCUUCUUUCUCCUCCCUCCCGCCCCAGAUCCGCGCCCGCCCCGGCGCCCGAAGGCCAUGGCGAGCGACAGCGACGUCGACGAGGACGAGCUCCUCCAGAUGGCGCUGCAGGAGCAGGCGGCGCGGGACCUGAGCCACCAGCGCCCGCCCGCCGCCAACAAGCCCGUCGUCAACCUCGUCCGCCCACCCGCCCCCAACGCCCGCGGCGGCAAGGGCGCCGCGGCGAAGGCGCGCCAGCCCAGCCGCGGCGGCGACGAGGACGACGACUCGGAGGUCGAGCUGCUCUCCAUCUCCUCCGGCGACGAGGACGACAACCCCCGCGCCCGUGGCCCGCCGCCGCCCCGCGGGGGCGGGGGCGGGCGCGCCGGGGCGCGGAGGGCCGCGUCACGGGACGACGGGGACUUCGACGACGAGGAGCCCAGGAGCUGGAAGCGCGUCGACGAGGCUGAGGUAUGGCCGCUGUGAGAGAUCACCGAGAUCUCGAUCUCGGGCUGCGGUGGUUGCCGUGCUAGCUUAGGCCCCUUCUCGAGAUAGCGCCGGUGGAUGAUCAUGCCAAUGCUUAGCAGGCUGGGAUUGUCCUUCAUCACCGGAAUUUAGCUUGUUAUGUGAUCGUGUGCAGCAUUUCAUGGUACUGUGGUUAGCUAUUGCGAAUUGUGAUACCUUGUGUGCCUGGUGAGUUGGUUCAGUUGUGGCACUGCUGAGUAGUCCUGCCUGUUUGGCAUGGGGGAACUUAUACCGAUAGAUGAAUGUUAGAAACUGGCUACCGGCAUGGACAAAUGCUGUCGUGGUGUAAUCACACGAGUCUAUACCAAUGUGACAUUAGGAUGUUGACAAUUAACUAAUUAAUGGAGCUAUAACCAGUGUUUUAAGUUGCUAUGGCUGUGCUUCGUACAAUUCUUACUUCACCACACCAGUUGCCUACCUGCAGCUAUGAUGUUGUGCAUUACUGUUUAAUUUAGGUUUACAGAUUUCUGAACAAGGGAAUAAAUCACACCUUGUUUUUUUCUAACUAAAUAUUCCAAUAACUAAUAUAAUGAUAUACAAUGGUCCAUUGGGAUCUCUCUCCCACAUAUUCUCCUUACUUCUCUGCAUUCUUGUUUGUCGUGUUUCCAACUUCUCAAUUUUUUCAUCAACUUUGCAUAUUUUGUUAGUAUUAUGAUAUGAUAUUCAUAUCAGCAUUGACCAGAUAAUGGUUUCCAAAUACUUGGAAAAUGAUAUGUUAUUUAGCCUGAUAUCUUGCACCUUUGCAUUUUCAUACUAAUGCUAAAAAUGCCUAGUGACUGCCUUCCUUUGCUCCACUCAAGCUUGCUCGCAGGGUUCGAGAAAUGCGAGAAGCAAAGGUGGCUCCCAACAUUCAAGAACUUGAUCAGAAAGCAGCAGCAGCAGCUGCUGCUGCUCGAAAGGCCCUCACGACUGUACAGACUUUACCAAAAGGAGUUGAGGUUUUGGAUCCAUUGGGGCUUGGGUAACUAUCUAUAUCAUCAAGCUUUUGAUCAGUACAUGCAUUAUUUACCAUUUAAGGAACAUUUUGUAAAGAAAAUACACUCCUUGUCUAGUUAUCGUGCACUAUUCUCACCUGUUGGUCCAUCAUUUAGCAUAAGUUGCAUUUUUUCCUUCCAUUUUAUUAGUUCCCCUUUUCCCUCUAUGGGAGAUCCCUCACUACUCAAGUUCUUCAGCAUCAUGCUGUAUAUUGGUCUAGCAUCUUUGUCUCAUUGCUUAUUAUUUUUGUGAUUGUGGCUGUGUAUCCAUGUUUGGCAGUGGUCCAGUUUUUCUGCUUUUGGAUUUUGCUUCUCUUUGGGUGGGAGAUGCUAGCUUCUUAUUGGAUUGCACUCCAAACUAUUUUGUGGGAGAAGCCCAGUAGGUUGGUGGGUGGGCAAUGGGGGGAAAGCUAGAAGGAAAAACUCUUGGCUUCUUUCUUGGUGGCAGCCUCAGGUUCUCUAAAAACCAAUAGGAGAAGCCAGCUGUUUGGCCUCUCUUUAGCUUUUAGCAAGAGAAACCGAAGCUAGAAGUGCGGUGAAAAAGAUUGUACAUACCACUUAAAAGCUAAUUUAUUCCAUGUACCUUUUAAAACAUGCUGCUGAGCCUUAUCAAAGAAAUGAGCAUAUUCUUUUGUAUGAUAUACUUGGACACAGAAAGUAUGGAUCUCGUUCAAUUUGGCAGUGUUGCAUCGUGUAUUACCUUGUGCCCUAGAAUAAUAUAAUUAAUUUCAAUUAAUAGAGCCAAGUUAAGGUUAUCCUCAUCUCAUGCUUAUUUCCCUUUCAUCAUUGGGUAAUAUUUAUUAUUACCUUACCAGUGUCAUGGAUAAUAAAUCCCUGCGAUUGAUCACUGAUGCUUCAGUAAGUUCUCCAGUUUCAAGGGAGAAGUCUCAAGGUUUAGACCCCAGUAUGCGAGGUAGGCCUGAUGGUUUUACUGGAAUUCUUAUUGCAUUUGAUUCAUGCUUAUUAAGAGGUCUAUUUUUGCACUUCUGCAGACAAAGUUAUCUAUUCGUCUCCAAAUUUUGACCCCAAAGUUUUCCUUUCGUGGGUCCACAAAGACACAAGUGCUGCUGACUUAGAGGCUGGUGCUCUCACCUUGAAAACUGAUCUCAAAGGGAGAACACAGCAGAAAAAACAGUUAGUCAAGGAGAACUUUGAUUGUUUUGUCUCGUGCAAAACUACAAUAGAUGGUAUUUAUGUAAUUAUUAGAUACACCCAUAUUGCAGACAAAUGUUCAUGAUCCUGAAGUUUCUGGACAAAUGUUUUGCAUCUCCUUGUAAUACACAGUUUUUUGCAGACAUUGAGUCGAAAUUGAGACAGAUAGAGGAAGAUCCUGAAGGUGCAGGUACUGCUCACUUGUAUUCAGUGACACAAAAAAUUAGUGGUGUGGCAAAUCGUGCAUUUGAGCCUCUAUUUGAGAGGCAGGUAUACAAACUGAGCUUUCUCUAGAACUAUCGCUAUUUCUUCAACAUUCCUUCUUGAGUGCACUAAAUUCUUAACUUCUGGUACAGGCCCAAGCUGAAAAGAUCAGAUCUGUUCAGGGAAUGCUUCAAAGAUUCCGGACACUCUUUAACCUACCAAGUGCAAUCCGUGGGAACAUUAGGAAAGGAGAAUAUGAUCUUGCUGUCAGAGAGUACCAAAAAGCAAAGUCAAUUGUUCUUCCUUCCCAUGUAUGGCAGCUUUCUAUUUUGUUUAUAUUCAUAUUUUAUCCAAAUGAAUGACCGUAUGGUAUGGUGUAUCGUGCAGCUGGCAAGAUAUUGUGCAUGCAUUGUCCAGCUCAUGCACUCAAUGAAAUUAGUGUGUUCCAGAUUUGUGUUAAAUUCUAUAUUGACCAUUUUGUACACAAUGAUAUGUAUCUCGUCAAAUAAUUGUCUCCACCCUCAAAUGUAAGUAACUGAUAAUCGCUGGGCAUGGCUGAUCCAUGCAAAGCUCUUGGAAAUGCUAGGUUUAAUGAUCUAUUAACUCAUGAAUACUUAAUCCUCUGAACUGUCUUAUUUUUGUCUGGACCACUUGACCGUGCUAUCUUUUUGCUGUAGAAAAUUAUGUCUGAUUCCAUGCUGAAGUAUAGCAUGUGCAAAUUUCUCCACUGUGUUUUGUGGCCCCAUCGCUCGUUGUUAGGCACUAUAUUGACACAACAAUAGAUCUAGCAUUCAGUAUGUUUAUUAUAUGUUGUUAUGUUGAACAACCUGCAGGUGGGGAUACUAAAACGUGUACUUGAAGAGGUCGAAAAGGUGAUGCAAGAAUUCAGGGGCAUGCUUUAUAAGUCGAUGGAGGAUCCUCAUCUUGACCUUGCUGAGGUUAGCGGAACAUGGCUAUAGUAUCUGUCUUUAGAGACAUUUAGAUAUUACCUACUUUUGUUGACAGCGAAAAAUGGUUUAGCCUGCAAGUUUAGGUUUAUGUAGCAUUGAACAUAACCAAAUAGAAAAAGCACAAUAGAGGACAGUUAGCAUAUGAUUAUAGGGCACUGCUUGUUUAAAAUGGACUAGUUGAUUUCCUAGUGCUUAACUCUAUUUUAAGAAUGAAGUUAUCUGAUGUCUUUGUUCUGUUUUCUAACUGAUUUUGUUCUUUACCAUUCAGCUUGAGAACAUUGUUCGUCUACUGUUGGAGUUGGAACCUGAAACAGAUCCAGUGUGGCAUUAUCUAAAUAUUCAGGUUGAAUUUAUAUCUAAAUACUUGUGCUGUAAUCUAACUUAGCUUUUCAAUUCUGUGACUUCAACUGUUUGUAUUAUCUUUUUACUUAUAUCACAAUAUCUCCUAUCAGAAUAGCAGGAUUCAUGGAUUGUUUGAAAAGUGUACUCAAGAUCAUGAAUCGAGAAUGGAAGUUUUGCAAAAUAAAAUUCAUGAAAAAGUGCUCUCUGAUUCAAAGUGGAGGCAGCUGCAACAAGAUUCAAAUAAAUCUGUGAGCAUAUUAGUUUCUGUAGUUCAGCAUAUCAUAUUUACAUGCUAUUUUGUCUUCCCUAUGUUAAUGAAGACCUUUUUGUUUAGCUGGAAGUUGAUUCUGCCAUUGGUGAUUCUCCUCGAGCUGAUCAGUUGUCAACAAACUUUAUGGCUGAGGAAGCUGACAGUUUAAGGGCCACCUACAUUCGUAGGCUAACUUCUGUACUUAUCCAGCAUGUUCCAGCUUUCUGGAGAUUAGCUUUAUCUGUUUUCAGUGGAAAAUUUGCCAAGGUAAGAACCUUAUCAGUUGCAUUACAAUUUACAAGAAAAAUGUAAAUAGUUGACAGUGCAACUGUAUGGCUUGUGACACUAAUAUGUUUUCUCACAAAGCAUGUAGCUCCGCUGAACCACAGAAACCUAGAAACUCUUCCACCCUUAUGGUUGUGCAAUAGUAAACUGAAAUUAAAGGGUAUUUCUGAUAAUACCGGUCUGAAUAAUGAUGUGUACUUUACUCAUCAUGAAGAGGAUGAGAAUGAUCCUUCUUAUUUUUGUUUUGAAAAGAGAGAUUUACAUGUAUUUGCUAAUUAUAUAUAUUAUUUAUUUUCAGGCAGCUUCUGGUAAUGUAGUUUCUGAUUCUGACAUGAAUGCAAAGCCGGCUGCAAAUAAGAACGAUGACAAAAGUGGAGAAGUAAAGUACACAAACCACACUCUCGAUGAAGUUGCUAGUAUGGUUCGGGCUACUAUAUCGGCUUUUGACACUAAGGUGCAAUUAGUGCGUUGUUUGGAAUUUUAACAUCAAACGUGAUUGUUAGCAGUAAACAUUUGAUUGUAUUAGUAAUUAAACAUGCUUUAACAACAACAGGUUCAGAGCACCUUCCGUGAUUUUGAGGAAUGCAACAUUCUUUGUCCAUACAUGAGUGACACUAUAAAAGAAAUCGCUAAGGCCUGUCAGACUCUUGAAGGGAAGGAUUCGUCUCCAACUGCCGGUAUGGCCUCUUAAUUAGAGUUUUUCCCAAAUCUGCAAAAUUCGUCUUGUAUCCUGAAUGUGUUAACAAUUAUGCCAGUAAAAAUGUUGCGCACCCUUCAUUUUGAAAUGACAAAGCUUUACAUUCUACGGCUUUGUUCAUGGAUGCGGGCAACAACUAAGAAGAUAUCAAAAGAUGAGACUUGGGUUACUUUAUCCACCCUUGAGAGAAACAAGUCUCCGUAUGCAAUUUCAUGCAUGCCUCUGGAGUUCCGUGACAUAACAAUUUCAGCAAUGGACCGGAUUGAUACGUAAGACUGCUUUAUUUCUAUGUAGUAUUGCAUCUUUUUGCAGUUUCUUAUGCUGCAUUAUUUCCAAAGCCUUGUGAAAGUUGUUUUGUUGCAUUGUUACUUCGCAAUUGGCCAUGUUUUUUAAUACCUACCCCCUCCAUUCCAAAUUAUAGGACGUUUUUUGGCUUUUCUAGAUUCAUUGUUUUCACUCUGCACUUAGAUAUACACCAUGUCUAGAUACAUAGUAAGAGCAAUGUAUCUAAAAAACCAACACGUCUUAUAAUUUGGGACGGAGGGAGUAUUUGCUAAUAGAUAAUUAUUUCUUUUGUUGCACUUAAGCAGUAUUCUUUCCUUUUUGGCAGUAAGUAUAUUUGUUACAGUGUCAGGAUUCAGGAAGGAAUUUAUCAUACUGUGUUGUAUAAUUUUCUUGCUACAGCAGUAUAGCUUUAAUUAUUGUAGCGAUCAAGCAUAAGCUUUUGCCAUUAAUAACCUUUAGAUUUCUGGAUAUCCUGUUGUACCUAUGAAUGAAUCCUUUCAUCUGAGUUUCAAUUUUUGUGUCUGUCUUGUCACUUGCUCUGCAAAAUCUGAAAUUUAUCUUGAGCACAACCUUCUAAAGUGAUGACACAUCAGUCUUCAAAAUUUGGGAACAGCAAGUACUUUCCUGCCUUCUUUUUUGGUAGUGGUGAACAGGUCCCUAAUCUGUGUUUGUUUAUUUCAGUAUGAUUCUUAAUCUGAUGAGCGAGACUGCGAAGUCAUAUGACAUUUCUCAACCACUUCAGGAAAUUAAUGAGUCUGUCAGACUUGCAUUUUUGAAUUCCUUUCUGGAUUUUGCUGGUAUGAAUUUCUCUAAGAAGUAGCUAGAGGAAUCUUUUUAGCAUAAUUCUCUGAAAAUCUUUGUAAUUGCCUCAGGUUAUCUGGAGAGGUUUGUAGGCGAACUAACUGAGAACAGACCAAAUAAAGAAAACAAUUAUGUCCAAAAUGGAUACAUAAAUGGUACUAGAGAAACACCUGCUAACACAGAUGGAGAUUUGCACAAGAAGCUGCUGGUUGUCUUGAGUAACAUUGGAUAUUGUAAAGCUGAGCUUUCAGAAGAACUGUACACCAAAUAUAGACACAUUUGGUCUCCAGUCAGGUACCUGAUAGCAUUCAUGAAGUCUUCGCCCCUUCCUUACCUGUGUGGGAAAGCAUGUACUCAUUAGAGAAGCUGUUCUCAAGGUAUCUAAUCUUUUCAAUGAAAAUUUUGUCACAGGAAUAAUGAUGAGCGAAGUUCUGACAUGCGAGAUCUGAUGACUUCUUUCUCUGCACUUGAAGAGAAAGUCCUUGACCAAUAUACUUUUGCAAAGGUAUGAUACACAAUUCAUGACAUAGUGUUCAUUAAUCACCGAAUGCAUGAUUUAGCAAAAUUGAUUACAUCAUGUAUAUUAUAACCCCAGUAUCUUGCUUUCACAUAGGUGAGGAUCUGAUACAGAUUUAGUGUUCUCCAUUCAGUCAUUCCUCAAAUAGUACAAUAAUUCUGAAAAACUUACUAAAGCACACAAAAUAACUUAAUGAACUGGGAGAACUAACAAACUUUGUUUCAGUGUAGCUUCAUAAUUGCACAGUUUGCCUGUAAAUCACGAGAUGAAUCUUUUGAGCCUAGUUAGUCCAUAAUUGGACAAUAAUUACCAAAUAAAAACGAAAGUGCUACAGUACCCAAAACCAAAAAUUUUUGGGAACUAAACAAGCCAUAAUUACUUUACUUUUUGUAAGAGCACAGCAAUUUUGUUGGGAGUUCCAGUUAUUGUGAUAAAUACUGGAGCUAUUUUGUUUGCUUUGAUAUAUUGUUAUUAUACCAUAUUGUUUUGUGCCUUGGACAACUGCAAAUAGCCGUUUGGAAUAGUUGUCACAAGUCCAUAGCACUUAAUGAAGCACUAGGAAGUUCCACUGAUCUUGUGAAUGCUAGGGACAACUCUAAAUCUGAAGUUUUAUGAAAUUUCAUAGGCCCUACUUGAUGCUGGGGAAAUGUUUUCAUGAAUGUCAAUAUUUUUAACUUUUUUGGACAUUAUGGUGUUUACCUUUGCUUUACUCAUCCUGAUAUUUUGUUGUUUGAUUAGUCAAACUUGAUCAGAAGUGCUGCACAAAGUUAUCUUUUGGAUUCUGGGAUUUAUUGGGGAGCAGCACCAAUGGUAAAGGUAUGCAGUAUAAAUUUAAAACAUGAAAUCCAUUUAUGUUGUGGCACUGUAUGUGUUCCAAAAAAAUUGAAACAAUGAAAGGUAAGAUGGAUCUUGAAUCUCCAUGAGAUUUAGUUCAGACUUUGUAGCAUCUUGGUAUUUACUGCAAGGGCAGUUACAUCCAGAAUAUGUUGUGGAUUACAACUGUCAACCGUGACUGGCGUUUGGGUACAUUUUUUUUUUUUGGAAAUAGAUUGGCAUCCUUGUGUUUGUUAUACCAAUGCCUCUUGUUGUCUUGUGAAACUACAAUCUCAUCAAUGUUAUUGCUUUCUCUUUGCAGGGCAUUCGAGAUGCAACUCUUGACUUACUGCACAUCCUUGUAGCCGUACAUGCAGAGGUUUCCAUUAAUUUAUUUUCUUAUUUUGAAUAUUUAUUAAACCUUGUCAUGACAUCAUUGUCUUUCCUAAAAUGCUUGAAAUUGGCAUAAGAACAAACACUUUUACUGGAAUUUUGGUGUGAUCUUGGGCCACAGGUUCUAUGCCAAUACUGUUGUAUUCAUAUCAAAGUUAUUAAAUCGGCUAAUCGCCCUGGUACCAGUAAGGACGAUUAAUCAACAAUAAGGAUGAUUAAUCAACCUCUUAUCGGUCUGGUCGUCCACAUAAUCGUCCUGUAUAUAGGACUAUAUACCAUAUAUGUAUGGUAUAUAUACCAUAUACUAUAUACUUAUAUAGUAGACAUCGGGCACCAAGACUAUAUUUCUGGUUAGUUGGUUACUUACCUGUGAGAUUUGACUCCAUCAAGACUGGGAGUGAGGAGUGAGGACUCAGGAGGUGAGAGAAAGAGUGGGGGAGAGGUAUAUAAGAGAAACCCUAAUGGGCCUGGUCCAAACGAAUAUAGCCCAGUAAGCUGAAGCAGCCCAUCUGCCUAUUUGGUGCUGAUUGGUCAAGAUGCCUAAUUGGACGAUUUAUCGCGAGUAAUCGACGACGAUCAGGUUUCUGAUCGCUCUAAUCGAAUCGGAGGGCCUAAUCGAGUUCUAGGUACCUAUAAGGACGAUUAAUCGGAUGAUCAGAUAACAUUGAUUCAUAUUUACCUCAGCAAAAAGCCCCAAUGCUAAGUUAAGUAGCAGAAAUUUAGUAUUUUUGUGGCAACAACUAGCAGUCUAGCACAAGUCAGUAUGGCACCUAGUACUGGGUACAGUAUUUGUCCAUCUGGUUGGUGACAAACAAAUUUUACUCUUAGGAUGGUUGUCUGGAAAGAUCUGUUAUUUAUGUGCUUUUCACCUUCUAAUAUAUGAAAUAUUGUGCAUAAUAAGAAAAAAAAAUACUAGCAUUCUUUCAAGGUUUGUUUGAGUUAUUCAUUACUUAGAUAAAGAAAUGCUAAUGCAAGUCCCAGCCUCCUAUGCUGCUCAUUUUGGGAAUGGCCAUUCUUUUACUGCAUGUAUUUCGUUUCUGACUGUUACAUAUAUCUUAUUAUGUCACCAGCAUUGUCUGUCUUACAAGUACAAUUUGACUAUGUAUCCUCAUCUAUAUUUGAAAAGAGUAGAUGCGAUUCUCACCUUUUACAUUCAGGUAUACUCUGGUGCUCGGCCUUUGUUGGAGAAGACAAUGAAAAUUUUGGUUGAGGGUUUGGUCGACAUAUUUCUUAGUGUUUUUCAUGAGAAUAAGACCAAAGAUAUUAGAUUGUUGGAUGCGAAUGGUUUUUGUCAACUCAUGCUUGAGGUAAAUGUUUGUUAUUUUUAUUUGCCACUAGAUUCUUCUCAAGUCAUAGCUAUGCUAAGGGCUAAUGGCUCAAGCGCUCUGCUUGAUUUACUUCCUUUUGUGUUAUAUGCAGCUUGAGUAUUUUGAGACUGUACUACAAACAUACUUCUCACCCGAGGCACAACAGGCAAUGAAAUCCUUACAAGAGAAUUUGUUGGAGAAGGCCUGUGAAAGUGUUGCAGAAGCCAUGGAAAAUCCUGGACACCAACGUCGACCAACCCGUGGCAGUGAAGAUACAGCAUCAGAUGGACAACCAUCGGUAUCACCUGAUGAUUUGCUUGUAAGUGCACAGAAAUAAUCUACUUAUGGAUUUUCAAAUUGAUGAUAGAUGAAAAACACAUCUGUCACUGCAGUGUGACAUCAAUUUUGUGAAGCAGAGUUUCUGCUGUCUUCUGAAAGUUUCAGUUUCUGUUGCUAUUUUUCACAACCGAAACAAAUACAAUUUUCUUUCCAGGUGCUUGCUCAACAGUACAGUAGUGAUCUACUACAAGGGGAGUUGGAGAGGACUCGAUUGAACAUAGCCUGCUUCAUGGAGUCAACCCUUCAAUCAACAGGCGCGCCAGCAGGCUCAAAGCCCGGUGCAUAUUCUUCUUACCAAGCACAAGUACCACAGCACGCCCCUGUUCAAACGUCCUCGCCUAGUUUUAGAAGGCAGCAGACUGGUACAAGUUCUCCUGUAGUCUCCAGGCGGCGCCGGUGAGCUUAGUGCAUCUCUCGAUCAUUGGUGUAGCCUCUUCCCUGGAAUUUCCUUCUUUUCCCCCCUCAUGUGGGUUUUUGUUUUUUGAUUUCUUGUAAUUAUCAUCCUGUUGUCAUGUGUUAUGAAUUUUGAUUGAUCCAUUCUUUUGGUGUUGUAAGAUAGAUAAAAGGGGGGUACAGGUGCUGCUGCACGGGACCAUCUAAUUGUAUAAUAUCCACGAGUCAAAUAUUAUUGCCUUGCUGCCUGAAGAUAUCGCCGUAGCCUGCCUUAAUUUUAUCUGGAGUCGUUGGUCUGCGCCAGCCUCCAGCGGUCGUCACCGCUUGUUUGUAUAUUCAUUCACUCACUUGGACAGUUUGUGUAUCCCGACAUCUGUUAACAUUGUAUGAGGUGGUCCGUGGUUAUUGAUUGAUAUCCAAGUCUGCAUGCUUCGUGGAUGUAAUUAUCGUGCUACUGCAGAGGUUCAUGCUGUAUCGUUAUAGGCAUAUAGUUGAAGAUGGGUACUAAAGCUAUUGUUUUUUGAACUACCCAGCUGUAUUAUCAAAUCAAAGCUUAAAGGAAGAUCCGAAAUAUUGGCUGGAGUAAGCUACCGACUCGCUUUCAUCCGCGAAUUUGAAUCCGCAGCGGCUGAAUCAUGUUUGAGAUUCAAUUAGCAUCGGGAUAUGUUAUUAACUAACUGCACGUGGGCGUGUUGUCUGUCUCAAGUAGCAGCCCAUGCUACGUGCACUGCCUCGCCCUUAGUUUAUUCCUCUCCGUCUCUGUGGUGUGCGUGUUCCACAGGUGCACCUGUACUUGAAUUGGUCGCUCGCACAUGGCCCCCGCGAUCGCAGGCUCAAGAUCCGAGCUACUCGUUACUCGUUAGCUAGCGAGUCACCGAGUAGCCGAUUGAUGUCUUGCUGUGGAGGAUGGAGAACAAGUAGUAGUCAAGAAGAGCAGUCCAAGUGCAACAAUGCAAGCGUGUGAUAGGCGAGGCAAAUGCUACCGCGGCACUCAGCUGCUGCUGCUGCUCGUGCCCCGCCACAACGUUAUCCUCGUAGAUGUGGCCAGAGCUUUUGCAGCCAAGAGCAGGUCCGGCCACCUCCCACCCCACGUAUUAACAAACAAAACGAGGCUCCCGAAGCAGAAGCAGCAUGGAGCUGAGGCCGCCCUGCGACCGCCGUGAGCACGCUCUCUAGCCAGCCGGGCCGGCCAUGGCGGCCACCGUUCUCUUCCCACCGGCUGCGCAGUGCCGCCACCGCGCUACCGCGACGACGAGCGGGCGGGGCGGCGGCGCCCUUCCCUCGCAUUGCGCACUACUACUGCUCCCCCCUCGGCACCGGCGCCGGCGCCGGGGAUCGGUGAGGGCCGUGCCGCCUGAGCAGAGCAGCUUGCCAGCGGCGGCGGCUGUGUACGGGAGUGCUGGCGACGUCAAGGCGGCGCUGUACGGAGCGCUGGAAGGCGCCAACCGAGGGAUAUUCGGGAUGACGUCCGCCAAGCGCUCGGAGAUCCAUGCCCUGGUGGAGCUGCUCGAGUCCAGCAACCCCACGCCGGAGCCCACCGCCAAGCUCCAGGACAAGGUAGUUUACCAUCAUUAUUAGCUAUACUAGAUGCAAACAGAACACUAGUUAGUGAACGACCAAAGCUGAUAGAAAUUUGACAGCCUUGAAAUGUGGAUUAUUGCAUCUUUUCGUUCUUAAUAACUGUACCUACCGUACGUUUUAGGCACCUGAUAUAGGUAGAGUACAUGCCAAGCUGCUUUUACUGCUUGCUUAGGAAAGUACUGACAUGUACAGUUGGGGGGGGGGGGGGGGGUGUUCUGAUUGGGUGGUGGAAGGUGGAUGGAUGCUGGAAGCUCAUCUACAGCACGAUCUCAAUACUGGGGAAGAAGAGAACCAAGCUAGGACUGCGAGAUUUCAUCAGCCUAGGGGACUUCCUCCAGAUAAUUGACGUCAAAGAGGUCAGUAAAUUAAGGCUACCCUGCUGUAAACCAUUUUUUUUUCCUCAUGUCAAUGUUUGUGUCUUCUGUGAGUUCUGAAUUUUUGAUACCCGCUUAGCUAGUCACCGCGCUACCAGACACCGCUGUACUGUACUGUACUGUACUGUACUGUAUGCAUUGCAUCCAUGAGCAGACGAAGCCACCUGUACAAUUUUGUUGCAAACAUUGCCUCUCCUAGCCACCCCCUCCUUCCCUCCCCUGCUCGUGGAGGCAAUGUUUGUACUUUGUACUUAUGCAUGGAUACAACGCAUAUGCUUAGGUUGUUCUGAUCCUCUCCUGACUGCUUGCGGGUCACCGCUUCUGCUUGAACUUAUAUACUUCCAAUAGCAUCACAGAAUCUUGAGUUCUUGAUGCAAAAACUAAUCACACUGGGUUAAAGAACUAUGUAUCUAACUUGAGUGUUGUCUGGGUAUUCUAAUUGGCAUACAAAGUAAGUUUUGAUUUGUGCUAUACUUGAAAUAAAUGGAGAUUUAGCGUCACUUCUCUACACCCAAAAGGAAAAGGCGGUGAAUGUGAUAGAGUUCAGCGCGAGAGCAUUGAAGAUACUGUCGGGGAAGCUCACCAUCGAAGCUUCGUACAGUGUUACUAGCCAAACAGUAAGGCUUCUUUUUCUGGUAUUCCCUCCUGGUCUUGCUUAGACACUGCAUGUUUUGACAGACUUCCUCACAACCUGUGGCUUCUUGUUUCAGAGAGUGGAUAUCAAGCUUCAGAGUUCAACUAUCACCCCUGAGCAGGUAAAAAUAUGUACUCUACUAUUUAUUUCCAGGUCAUGGAUGAUACCAUGGAACGCAAUCGUAAAGUCUACUGUUUGUCUUCAAUCUUAAUUGAUUGUCACAUUUGGCAGCUGAUGAAUAUAUUUCAGAAGAACUACGACAUGCUCCUGGACAUAUUCAAUCCAGAGGGCUGGCUGGAGAUAACGUAUCCUUUAAUUUUAUUUUUCUUAUCCUGGAUUACUAUUGCUGUAUUGCUAUUUCUUUGUUUUCUUUUAUGUAUGUCUAGCAAAAUAAUCUAGUGUCCAUUAAUUAAUAAGAUGGCAGCAGAGCUAUUCUAUACACAUGUCUUCCUCAAUUCUUUGAACAGAUAUGUUGAUGAAUCUUUACGGAUUGGAAGAGAUGACAAAGAGAACAUAUUCGUGCUAGAGAGAGCAGACCCAUCAGAAGUUUGACAAACUUGGUGAUGCAGUUUAUGGGCACAGCUGCACAGGCGGUUCAUAAUUUUGCGACAGGCGGAAAAGAUAGCACUCUUGGUUAUUGACAGUUCGAUGCAGACAUUCUACUCAAAGUAAAAAACUUUUCUUCCUCAAAUGAAGUAGCUAUAUAUACACACAGACACAUGCCUUUUUUUUUUUUUUUUCUUUUUGAGUUUUAAAGAGCAUAGAAGAGCAGCAUAUGCGUUCUCUAAAAAGGAUUAUGCAAUGGGAAAUUGAUCAAACAGCAAACAGCUGUUGUGUUUGGAUAUUAUAAGUAUAUGCCAUUGCUCAACAAUUCGUCCUUGUAAGACAGAGUGUACAGCUCGAAACACAAUUGCUCAAGUAUUUUCGUUGCGACGGCUGCUGCUGCUGCUGUUGUCGUUCCUGUCCUUUGAAGUGGUCUCUAGGCGAACAGAUCCCUAGAACUUUAUGUUCUGCCUUGCAGUCUCCUACAGAGUAUAUUAUUAGACUAUAUAUGUAUGCAUGGACUAAAGUUAUUAUUUUUAGCGACAGUUAUUUAGAGACAGAGCCGCCGAGCUGUGGAAACCGCCAAGCGUUGUCCUCAGCGAGCGCGACAGUGACGACCGUGCGCAUCUCAGAAUGAAGCCAGCAGCCACCUAUAGAUUGACGCACUGCGAACGCACCGGUCGGCACAGCGAGCGUAUUUUUCUCUCACAACAAAUCAGCCAAUAAUUUCUGUCAUGACUUAUCAGCCAAACAAACAAGACGAUGUCGUCAGGGACGUCAUCCAUCGAUCCUCCGAGGUGUGGUGCAGCCGAUCGGUUCUCGCGACAUGUCAUGCCAUGCCUCGUUCGCGACGACACACCGAGGAAACCGGCGCCUGGUGACAAGACAAAAAGGCCCCUCCGAUCCUGUCCCAGGGUAGGAUGACUGGACUACUUAUAUAGUACUAGCACACCCGGCCAGCUGCUCUGCUCUGCUCUGCUUGCUUGGCGUCGUUCACGUCUCGUGGACUUGGUGGUCUUGUUCUCCCUUACAUUUGGGCGCGCGCCGGAGAGGAAUUGAAGUGGCAUGGGGGUGGUGCACCGCGCGAAGCCGGCGAUGGCCAUGGUGGCGGUGGAGUUCGUGUUCUCGGCGCUGCAGAUCUUCAUCAAGCUGGCGCUGGACGACGGCAUGGACGUCCGCGUCCUCGUCGCCUACCGCCUCAUGUUCGCCACCGCCUUCCUCUGCCCGCUCGCCUUCCUCCUCGAGAGGUAACGUGCUGUUGCCAACAAGUGCAUGCGCCGCCAACGUGUGUGCGUGCAGUCAGGAACGAACGUACGCGCGUGAUCGUGCCAAAUGAACAGUCCUGACCAUCAUGCUCUCACAUUUGCGCUACGAUAGAUUCUCGUCGACAGUGGUAGAAUGUGUGUCCCGCUCGUCUAUCAAAUUUGUCUGCUAUUUCUCACAACAAAUCAGCAAACAAUACUUUCUCUCGUGACUUCUAAGCCGAGCGAAUAGAGCGGUACCCAUCAUGGAUUGCAUAUUUUUCUUGAAAUUCAAAGUACAGGAGCAGCCUUUUGUCUUUCGUGUUACUUUAUUCUCAAUUCCUUAAACCAUACAUUAUUUAGACAGACGGACAGAAGAGAGAGGACUAGACAAACAAUUGGUCAUGGCCUUAAUUUGGACAUGUCCACUUUCAAUACUUUGUUUUCAUACGAGUAUUAUUACUGUAAUCUCUACUAAUAAGCAAGCGCCUUGUGCUUCCUGUCCUGCAGGAAGAAACGGCCACCACUCACCAUGAAGGUGGUGCUAGGGUUGUUCCUGUGUGGUCUUUUUGGGUAACUGUUGACAUCAUUUCUUCUUUGGGUGAUUUUAGUUUUGGCCAGUUGUAAACUCUACUCUGUGUUUCACUUACAAGCUUGUUGACACAAUCACACAAAUAAUGCAGAAUCGCAAUAAACCAGAACUUGCUAGUGCUUGCCAUGAAGCUGACGAACUCCACGACCAUCGUCACAGCUCUCAGCAACCUCACUCCUCAGUCCACAUUCAUCGUCGCAAUCUUGACCAGGUCACCGGAUCGUCUGUCCAUCACCUCCCAAUCAUUUUCAGUUCUUCACGCACCGAUCUCACCAUCAUAUAUAUAUGUAUAUAUGUAUCUUUGCAAUACAGGCAGGAGAUGGUGAAGCUUGGCAAGGCCAGUGGGCGAGCGAAGCUGGCGGGCACGCUGGUCGGCCUCGGCGGCGCGAUGCUGGUCACCUUCUACAGGGGCCCCGAGAUCGGGUUCAUGCACCGCCUCGCGCUCACGGCCGGCGGGCUCAGAGACGCCCACGCCCAGCACGGCGGCGGCGGCGGCCAUGCUGGGACGACGACGACCGCCGCGCGGAUCGUCGGCUCGUUCCUCGCCAUCACCAGCUGCUUCAGCUACGCCAUCUGGCUGUCCAUCCAGGCCAAAGUCGGGGAGGUGUUCCCGUGCCACUACUCCAUCGCCGCGCUGGUGUGCCUCUCCGGCGCCGUCCAGUCGGCGCUGCUCGCGCUCUGCUUCCGCAGGGACUCGCCGCACUGGCGGCUCGGCCUCGACGUCAGGCUCUACUCGUCCGCCUACGCGGUGAGAAAGAAGACAAAGUGAUGGAAUCGUCGUUUCUCUUGAUCUGUGAGGACGACAUCGAUCGUUUCUUGAUUGAUUGAUUCCUGGUCUCUGAAUGCAGGGCGUCGUGGCGUCCGGCUUGGCGUUCCCGCUCAUGUCGUGGUGCCUGCGGAAGCGGGGGCCGCUCUACGUGGCCAUGUUCGGCCCGCUCAUCAUCGUCUUCGUCGCCGUGCUCAGCUCCAUCUUCCUCGACGAGACACUGCACCUCGGCAUGUACGCGAUGCCCCUGUGAAUGUGAUCCUGCUUGCUUGCUGCUGUGCCUCGGCUUUACUUGGCUUUCUCCCGCCGCCUCUGCAGCGUGCUCGGCGCGGUGCUGAUCGUGGCUGGGCUGUACAUGGUGCUCUGGGGCAAAGCGAGAGAAGCACAGGAGAAGGAAGCUGCUGCUGCUGCACCUGCUCCUGUUCGUGCUGUGCCUGUGCCCACGGAUGAAGAGCUGGGCAAGGAAUCCACGGCUCCUCCUGCUGCUGCCGCCGCCAAUGGUGAAACAAAAUGACGAGACUUGAUCGUCUUGAUUAUGGCCUAUAUGCUCAAAGCCAACUUUGCUGAUCGACGGGCGGCACGAUGGCAGUGGACUCCAAUGUUGACUCUUCGUUCUGAAUAACAUUUUUGGUGAAAGAGAGACUCUGCCAGUAAAGCUCGUAUAUGAUCGGUUACGGGCGCAAAAUUUGACCCAAAUGUUUCGAAUCUCAAUAUUUAUUUAACCUUGACCGAGGUCAUCUGUUCAAAUUAUGAAUCAGUUAUGUUUUGAUCUGUAAAAUUAUUUUGCUAGAUCUCAAAGCAAAGCAAAGCAAAGGUUGAUGACCUCAUGACCCACCGUAGUUAUUGGCAGUCGAAUUGUUUUGCAACCUUGUAAAGAGUUUUGUUCCGGUGGUCCUCAAAAGAUUUGCACGGAUAUUAAAGCAGUCAGGUAAUUAAUUUUAAGAUUUUUUGCUAUAUAUUAGGCUCGAUUCGCCUUCGCCAGCAGUGGUUAGGGAUGGCCUCCCACUCGCUGCUGUAGGGGCCUAGGUUACCUAACGCACGAGAGGAAGCACGAAACCCUAGAACAAUAAAGGCUUCAAUAAACUGCUUCCAACUAACUUCCAGAGGAGCAUUUACAACCCUUUUAUAUAGGGCGUGGAUUCUGACUAAUAUUCAUUACUGAAAUAGCCUGUGACGGUGACGGAAUAUUCCAGCAUAUUUCGCCCCCCCCCUACCUGCGACCUACAAGACUACUUGAAUAAUUCCUAAUCACGAACAUUUUACAAGUCAACAUGCUGGGAUUCUAACCCUAACGCAACCCGGACCUUUGCCGAGCCUCCGCCAAAAGCUGCGGAUCCUCCGCCGACCAGCUGCCGAAGGAUUGGCGCCCGCCACUUGAGGUUCUCCGCCUUGCCUCAGUCAAAGGCUCCGAAUCCUCCGUCGAUCACUUGCGAUCGGCGUCCGCUUCUCGGGGGUCCUCCGCAUCGGGUCAGUUCAUGCACACAUGUUUCACAGAACCAAAUUGCAUCAACUUAGCUUUUUCCCCAGACCUUUGUACGAAAGGUUCGGGUUACCAAGGUCAGGUCACCGCGAUUGAGUUGUGGUGACUUUUACUUCCGGAGCAACUAGAGGGAGGGCAUGGUUGAAUUGCCUGUUGACAGAUUUUAUUGACUGUCGAGACUGCCUGUGGAAAUUGAGUGUGGCGAUUUAUCUUAUCGAAGCAUUUGGGUUAUUUUAAUGUUAAAGAAAACAAUGUCUGAUUUUUUUUGUCAACGUAAAGAAAUAUUCCGUACCGACCGCUUUCGUUUUCUAUAUUAUAAAACCGUUUUCGAAUUUUGUUAAACAUAAAACUUUGUCAGUUUCAGUUGGUUUCACAACCAUUUUUGUUUAUUUUUUAUACUCUUUAAUUGCUAAAAUAUAGAAAUAUUCCGUACCCGUUUUCUACAUUGUAAUUCCGUUUUCGACCGUUUUCAUCCUUAGGAGUGUCAACUUAAAUAUUUUUUGAGGCAUACUGUACAAUAGCGUAUGUCUAGGAACGCGGUGCCAUAUCAUCGCUCAAGAAUACAUCAACGCAAAUCCAGAUGAAGUGAUGCAUUACCACAGAUUUAAAGGAAAGACUCAAUUACUGUUGCUUAUACUGGUGAAUUACUGUUGCUUAUACUGGUGUUUGGGCUUCUGAAGAGCUGGAGCUGUCUUGAUGGUUCCUCCAAAAUGGCUCCAGUUACUCAUUCUUUUUAUUAAAAAAAAAACAGCUUCUUGUACAAAAUGUUUGGUAGAGCUCAUUUGGAGAAACCAGGACUGGAGCUAACAAGCAGACCCUGAAGUGGUAAUGGAUUAACUUAUUCCAUCCACGAUCAAACAAAAAAGAGUGGGAAAAUGGUAGGGACUUUCAAUGAAAGACAUCACAGAAGUGGACGAAGCCUUUCAAUUAAAAAAAAAAAGAGUUUGUGCACGCAAAUGCAAGCUCCACCACAGCAGCAACAACAACAGAAAUGCACUACUAAUCUAAUACAGUGUAUCACAUUACCACAACACAAAGGGCUGCCGGGGGUUCCUUCAAAAGAAAAAGAAAAGAAAAGAAAAGAAAAGCCGAAGGAUCGAGUUCCUCGGUUGGUUAUGCUUGCAGGCAAUAUGAAAGUUCACGUGAUGUGGAUUCUUUCUUCAUGUUUCCAUUGUUUCCAAUCUGGCACUCUAUUGUAAACUCAAACUCCAUCUAGAGUAAUCAUCGUCUCAUCUGAUCAAUGCUAAUGUCUGAAAAUGUGUUCAAUGGGGCUCUCAAGUCUCAAUCGCUUGUGCGGGCCAUAGGAAAGUUUGGUUGUCAUGGAACCUUUGUGUUGCUACUCUUUCCAAUCUGAAGCUCCAUGGUAAACUCAUAUUCCACCUGGAGAAAUCACCUAUCACCAAACAUAAGAUUGUUGAUCUGAUCAAUACUAAUGUCUGAUAUGGGUUCAAUGGGCGUCUCCUCCUCAAUUGCAGGAGAAAACGUUGUGCGCUCCCGACUAUUUUCAUCUGCCAAACAAAUCAUUGCAACAAGAUGAAAAGGGCAAUAUGUAGAAACAAGAAUUUGCAAAACAAUUCAAUCAUUUGAAGGACGAAGGGAAUUCAGUCUCACCGAAGAUAGUACCGCAGGAAGUUGGUGGAGGAGUGGCAACGAAGUUGAGACCCAUGUAGAUACCCAUGGACAGCACCACGGCCACAAUCAAGAACGAUGGCACAGCCAGUGCCCAAUACCUGAACGAAAGCAAGCCUUGCAAUCAGCUACUGCAAGAAACACCCAUCCAAAUCGAGCAGUUUUUUAACCUAUAUAUAAUAAUAAGAUACAAGCAGCAAAGUAUGGAUGCCACGCAUUAAUGAAAUUCAGGUUUCAUUUGAUUUUAUCAAAAUUGCAACCAUCCAGUGUCUAACUGUCUAACCCAGUGCUGCUGAUAUAGAAUUUUAUUAGGAAUGAACAAGAACAAGGACCAAAAACGAAAGAAGAAAAGGCCAUGGGAAUCCUAUAAUCACAAAUUUCUCGGGGCGAUGGGGAGAAGAGUAGUGUGUCAUACUUGCUAGGGUAGUAGGUGAUGCCGACAGACCGGAGGACUGGCUCGGGCGUGUAUGCCCAGGCGAGGUAGACGGCGGUGGCGAUGACGGUGGUGAUGGAUCCGACGAAGCCGUACACCUCCGAUGGCUUGGGGCCAUGGUCGCGGGCGGCAAAGGAGGGGGACCUGGUGGAGGGGGCCCAAUCACGGUGGGGUCGGCGGUUGCGUAUCAGGCUAACCGUCUGCCUGGGACUGCGCACCACCAGCGACGGUGACGGUGAUGUCGAUGGCGGCGACCACUCCAUCGUCUUCCUUAGUUCUCACCUCCUUGUCCGUCUCGUCAAUCAGGCGGCAGCACAGAUACGGAUACAUGUAUCAGGAUCCGAAGGAUAAGCAUCUGCGGAUAUGGCAAUUUGUCAAGAAAACGUAUUAUAGUGUACAUGAAAACUACUCGGUUUUCACUCUAAUCUACAACUGAUGCAAGUUCAUAUGGUCAUCCUAGACAACAGGUACAAGUCGAUUGGUGUACAUCCGCAUGCACCAUCAUGCACCAUCGUGAUCCACACAAACUCAACGUAAAAAUUAUAUAUGAGUUAAAUUAAAUUUAUGGCAUGUCCAUCUAACUACAAUCCAUUUAGAACACUUGACCAUGUCUCAAUCUAUCCAAAAAUAAAUUAAUCUAAAUUUAUAUAUUAAUAUUAUUUAAAAAGCAUAGAUAAUUUUAUAUUGGUAAGUCACUCUAUCACAUGUCUGUAUAAGUUAGAGCAGCACAUCUAACUAGCUAGCCAUGAUGUGGUACAAACUACAAAGUAUGCAAUCCUAAAAUAAAUAUGAAAAUAUAAUGUAAUCGUUACAUAAUAAAUCUUUAAUUCUCUCGUGCUCAUGUAAGUCAGAGUGGCUAACGUACGUCCAGGAAUAGAGUCCAAAGAUGAAUCCUAACCCAUGAUGCGAUUAUUAAUAGUUUUCCAACCUGAAGUCGUCCAAAUGACCAUGUAAUAAUAUGUACACCCACGUAUGGGCACUUUUGACAGUUCACAAUAGAAGUCCCUUGUACAUUCAAUUAUGCCCCAUCCUGAUUUUGCAGCAAAUGUGUCUCAACUCUAGUGCAGCUAGAGAUUUUGCAUCGGAGAACAUUUGCAUCUCCGUAAAACAUUCUCUCCACCAAUUCUAGGCCUCUCCGGAACGGUGACAUGAUCCUAUAGACAGUAGCAUUCGCAGCAGCACUAUCACUUUUUUUUAGGAAAAGCAGCACUAUCACUUCACUACUCAAAUUUGGAGAUGCCAUCUACUGCAUACUGGAUAGAUCCACAAUGAGGAAGGCCGGAAGGCGAUAAACUCACCGGAUACCACUCGCCGGAGCCCGGAGGUGGCCGGAUCCAUGCUAUGCCGCCCGGUUUUCUCCCCUGUCCCCAGUCCCGCAGGUGCCGUGGUGGCUUUCUCGCGCGUAGCGGCAGUUUGCAGAGGGGGGGGGGGGAUUACUCGUCGCCGGCGGCCGGCAAGCUGCGGCCCAAGCUCCUCCCGCUGCUUCGUCGGCGGUACCUGCGCGAGUGCGGGAGGCGGCGCGAAGUAGUCGGAGUCGGGGUGACUUGGUCGGGGUGGUUACUGGGUAGGCUUCUGCCGUGCUGACCGCUGCUUGUUGGGCUGGUUGGGCCGUAUCCAGUAGAUACAUAUCGGCCCACGUACUCAUAACAAUUACUAAAAGUUAAUAAAAAUCUCCUUCUCAGAAAAAAAAAGCUAAUAAAAAUCAGAUACUCCCUCUAAUCUAAUUUAUAUCAGUUUGUUUUUAUAGACAUAUCGUAUAUCUUUUUUCCCUAAACUUAGACAUAGAUAUACUGAAAAAGCUAUAUAUAUAUAUAUAUAUAUAUAUAUAUAUAUAUAUAUAUAUAUAUAUAUAUAGGACACAUUUUGUUUACUCGUGCGAGUAGCUACUCGCACCUGCGAGUAUAAGCACACGGUGCAGGUAGUCCGUGCGAACCUAUGUUAAUGGGCUGGUGCUGGAGCUAACGGGUUUGGAACCGAAUACGGAGCAUGCGUGUAUCUACAGGAAAUUAAAUAAAAGGAGGCGCUAAUCACGGGAUUCUUUCUUGGCCGUAGACCGUAGUUCCCCUUUUUAAUAUGUACGUAUAUGAGUUUUUUUAAAAUAAAGUAUUCAUGCAUACUUCUUGUGGUGAUUGCUAUAUGUAUUUAUACUUUGUUUAAUAGAGUAUUUAUACACUUUUUAAAAUAUUGUAUCUGUACAUAUACUAGUUUUAUAAAAUGACGUAUGCAUUCAUACUGAGUAUAUACAUAUACUUUACGUGACAAAAGGGUAUUUGUACUAGUUUUUAAAAGGAUAUAUGUAUUCAUACUGAGUAAAUGAUAUAUACUUUACGUGACAAGGGAGUAUAUCUACAUACUAUUUUAAUACUUUGAUAAAUACACUUAUUGUUUAGAGAAGAUGGUAUGUGCAUAUACCAAUUUUCAAUAAGGGUAUGUGUAUACUAUAUGAGUUCUUUUUUUUAAAAAAAAGAGUACCCUUGCAUACCUUCUACACGGGAGUACCUGUACAAAUUUUUGACACAAAUUUUUGACAGUAUGCUUACAUACCUAUAUACUCUGCAAGCUAGUAUAUACACAUACUAUGUUCUAAAAGGGAGUACUUGUACAAAUUUUUGAGACAAAUUUUUAACAGAGUGCUUACAUACCUAUAUACUCUGCAAGCUAGAUAGUAUACACAUACUAUGUUUCAGGCUAUACAAAACAUUUAAUUACAAAAUCCCUCCCUGAAAAACUUAAAAAAAGUGUAUGUCCAAAACAUACUCCCAACAGUAUGGUGAGUCUUUCCGACAGGCAUAUUCAAAAAACAAUUAUCUGAAAAUUAUUGUGACAAAUUAGUCCAAGAGAAACUUCAUUUAUUCAUACAUAACAUGAUAUGCAGCCAGCAAUUAGGCCACGGUAACGAUUCUUCCUGCUCCUGCAUAUACAUAUUGGAAAACCAUUAUUUUAAUCCUCAACUGAUACUCUAAUUAGUGAAGAAGUAUUCAAUAAUACACUUAUUGAAAAUGUAUGCAGAGAUACUAGCUAUUUUCUAAAAGAUAACCUGAAAAUACCAAAACAUCAGUUGGACCUUAUUAUAUGUAUAUGAACUGUUCACUAAGCACGAACAGAUUGAGAACCCGACUUGGAAAUUAAAGGAAACAGGAAAUUAUAUUAUAUGGAAUGCACUCAUACUUGCCAUGCAUAUGGCCAUACCUCAAUGUCAAAAUCACAUCGAUUAAUCGAUACAACUUCCGUGGCCAAACACACAUGCUGUCUCACAUUGCAUUGCGCUAACUGUCACAAACACAUCGAACUUGCCGUCGUCGUGUAUGAAGAAGAUUAGAGAAAAAAAUUUCCGAGAGCAGGACAUGCCCUGCAAAUGCAAGAUUGAUGAACAGGACCAACCGACCAAGACUAGUAACAAAUCCACGAGCUUCAACAAGGAGGAAAGCCAUGCCGGCGUCAGGGUGCCGUGCGCUGACUACUGGGAAGGGGCCGUCGUCAACCACAUAGCACCGCUCUCUCUACGAUGUUGAUUGGGAGGGGACCCCACUGCCAAGACCCAGGAGCGAGCGCCACUGGAUCUGCCAUCGGGGACGAUGCAGGCAGCGCCGGAUCUUGAGCGGCAUGGCAACGCCGAACUCCGGCAAGGUGCUGCUCGGUAGGGGCUGAGAAUCUUGCGUGCUUGCACAGGCCGCUUGAUGGAGGAGGUAGUUGCAGCGCCGGCGGUGCCACAAGAUCGAGAGGAGGAAGGGAAGAGGUGGUGGUGGCGGCGGCUACUGGGAGAGGCUCAAGAGGGCCUCCGAUGCAGGAUGUUGUAUACGGAGUAUAUGAAUAUAUAGUCUAACGGGUGAGGAUCUGCUACUAAACCCGAUAAACCAGAUAAGAGGGCAAUUUCUGUGGAGAACCGGCCCACAUCGGUGGUGAGCGACGGAAAGGAAUCGGAGUAGCUACACGUACGUGUAGAAUGGAGUUUCCCAUAUAUAUAUAUAUAUAUAUAUAUAUAUAUAUAUAUAUAUAUAUAUAUAUAUAUAUAUAUAUAUAUAUAUAUAUAUAUAUAUAUAUAUAUAUAUAUAUAUAUAUAUAUAUAUAUGCACUGUUGCCAGAUUAGGGGAAGCUAACGGGUUUUGUUUGUAUCUAACGGGUUUAGAGUGCGGGGGUUGUGCAUGUACGCAUGUAUAUGAAAAAAAAAAUCAGCGGAUGCAUGCAUGCUGAUAUUUUUCAAAGAAAAUGGAUCUAGUUGUUUAACUUUUUGCUUUUGACAUACGUGGGAAGGUUUAGUAUAUAUGUCUGUGCAUGUGCGGGGCUACACAUUAUAAUUUAUUCAUACAUUAUUUUUAAGUAUGCAUUCAUACUUUAUUAGUAUAUAAAAGGAGUACAUAUUCAUACUUUUUUUAAAAGGAGUAUAUGUGUAUACAUUUAUUAAAAGAAGUACCUCGUAUUCAUUCUUUUUGAAAGGAAGUAGAGUAUUUAUACAUACUUUUGGAAUAGAGUAUGCAUACAUACUAUUUGUACAUACUUUUUAGAAAUAAAGUAUUUACAUAUACUUUUUGAAAUAGAGUAUGCAUACAUACAACAAUAUUUAGAUAGUACAAGUGUAUAGUUAAACCACACAAUCGGCGUAUUUAUGCAUAUAUUUUGGAAUGGAGUAUCUGUACAUACUUUUUAGAAGAGUAACAUUCUUUUCUUGAAUGAAGUAUAAAUACAUACGCCAAAAUUUAGAUAGUAUAAGUGCGUAUGUAGCAGGAUUAAGUAUACAUACGUCAGUAGGUGUCAUUAAAAAAAGGAGCAUGAGUACAAAUGCAUACACGUCCAUACAGGACUGCUAAAAUGCGUAAACGGGUACUAUGAGUAGAAACAUGCAAGGGAGUAUGUCUAUACUAUUAAGCUGGAAUAUAAUAUUUAAAGUAUAAUGUACAGAUCAUGUAUCUAGUGAAACUCUAGUCUAAAAGUAUCAAGUGAUACUAUAAUUCUGAAUUGAGAGUGCAUCAUGCACAUUCAUCCUACGAUUGCCGAUGAUUCUUGGAGCAGUAACAUCUGAAAGCAGUGAGAGAAAUCCUGUGGUUUAGAAUCAACAAAUUAGUAGUAUUCUAGUACGUUACUACUCCAGUUCCUCGAGUAAAUGGAGCACAAUAAUCUCUGAUCCGAUCUGAAACUGGUGGUGAAAAAAAAAUCAAUGCUUCAAAAUCCUUGUGGAAUCUGUAUCCAUCAUAUUCACUGCAUAAAAUCUGGAAUCCGUUCAAGAAGGCAUAGCCGGAAAAGAAAUAGAUUAACGCAAGUUGGACCUCCCUUCUGAUUCAAUCUGGUUCUGCUGGAUCUCCCUUCCGAUCCAACCUGUUCAAGGAGCCACAACGAGAAAAGAAAGCGAUGCACACGUAGCCAGAUCAAUGAAAAAUGCAAAAAUAAGAGGACUCACUAGGGAGCUCCAUCCUGCACCUGCAAGCCGCCUACAGGAUCUGGGGAGGACAAAUGAGAGACCAGGAGGACGAGGAGCUCUACCUCGCCGUCGGCUGGUGUACAUUAGGGCAUGCCGACGCCCCUGUCUCCUGCGCUGCUGUGCAUUGCCAUGAAGUGGAUGGCGUCGCGCCAGAUGGUGAGAGGCGCGGGCGAUCUUUUUGCGCCCGGGACGAUGCAUGGAAUCCUAAGAGGCAGGUCGGCGCCAGGGACAACGCAGGCGGCGUAUGUUCUUGAGCGGCGGGACUGUGGCGCCAGAUGGUGAGAGGUUCUUGACCCGCUCGGCAAACGCAAACCUUGGACUGUGGCGUGCUCGCGCGGUCCGCUCGACGGAGGAGGCGCUCGCAGCUCCGGCGUAGCCUGAAGGACGAGAUCGAGGAGGUGGCGGCGGCUGGUAGGAGAGGAGUCGAGGUUUCAAGAUGCAGGACGCUAUAUCCAGAUAAUAAUGAUUUUAAAAAAAUCUCGAUUUAUGAAACACCGAUUCGUUGUGGACGUAUAUAUGUUUAUCGGGUCUAGUUUGUGACCCGCUAAGAGAGUCCGCACGCUCGCUGUGUAUGGUUCGGAGAGAGAGUAACUACUCCCAGGCAGUAGGAAAAAUUUAAUAUAUAUAUAUAUAUAUAUAUAUAUACUAGCAAAAAUGCUCGUGCGUUGCAACGGGAGAAAAAAAGCUAUUAAAUUUAUAUUUAUAUCUCUAUUACAUAAUUGGUAAAAUUUUAGGCUUUUUUUUGUCCAUCCAUUUUUUAGUCAGUCUUCCUCUAACUACCGAAUGAUGGAGAGUUUCUUUUAUCUGGACUUAUAUAUAUAAAUCGUGCUCAUACGAGUUAGAAUAACUUGCGUCUAAACCAAUAUGGAGUAGGAGUCCUAAUAUAGGCUAGACCCACACCCACUUCACGCGUGUAUCUCCACUUCGCGUAGGCGCCACAUGGCGUCGUCGUAUCAACAGUGAGCCCACCAGCCGCCGCCGGUGGCGCGGGCGAGGACUUCGAUGAGUUGCAUAUCUGGGGCGCGUUCGAGCCUCCCGAGCUGGUGAGGGCGGGCUAGUUUCUAGCCGAGCAGAAGGCGUCGCUAGUGAAGCUGGCCUGAACGGCAUGGCCGCGCAAGGGUUGCUGCCAGAUGAAGAUCCCCGACUGGUCCAAGAUCUUGGGUAGUGAGUACCGACCUAGCUACCACUACGGCGCAGGAGGCGUCUGGUCGGAGCUCUACGAAGACGACUCUGUGGACUGGGUGCCACCCCACGAGCUGGUGGCGGGGCGCCGCUGCGCCAUGUCGCUGUCGCUGAACGGGGUUGUCGGCAAAGAUGCUCAAGGUUUGGGACGUGGUGUGAAAGCAGACCACCGGCUAAAAAAAGACAAGAGGGACAUAUGACAGCACUAUAUGGUGACGGAGACAGUAAAGAAAAAAACUAGCGUGGGUAACGGAUAGAAAAUUGGGCAGACUGAAAUUUUCACAAUUAAAUAUUAGAGAAGAGAUAGAUAAAAAUAUAAACAUAUUUAAAUAUAAUUUGGAAGGGCAGACUAAAAAUAUCCAGACAAAAAAAGCUCAAAAUUUGCCUUUUUAUUAUUAGGAGACGGGGAUGGGAUCAAAUUAGGGGGUGUUUAGUUCCUAUUUUUUCUCAAAAAAAUUGGGUUUUGGUUCAUCAUUUUGCAAAAUGGAAUUAAACACCAUGCAAAAUUUUUGGCAAAAAGUAGUUAUUCUCCAUUUUGGAUUUUGGCCUCAAGAGUUAAAAAAAACCCAAAAUGAGUCUCAAAAGGCUUCAUGAGGACAAUAAAUUCUGUAUUUUGGAUGGAACUAAACAUGAUCCUGAAAAUUUUGGCAUUUUAUAUUUCAUCACUCCAAAGUAGUUGGCAUUUUGUAUUUUGGAUUCUAUGGAGAACUAAACACCCCCUUAAUCCGAAUUUAAACCCCCCUCACUCCAAAGAUAAUUAAUUACAUAUUAUUUAUGGUAUUUUACUGAUGUGGCAGCAUAUUUAUUGAAGAAAGAGGUAGAAAAAAUAAGACUCCAAGUCUUAUUUAGACUCUAAAUCUAUAUUGUUCGAGAUAAUAAAUAACUUUAGACUCUAUGAUAGAGUCUGCAUUGUGAGUGCCCUUACGAUGCCCACGCUAUGACACAUGGUAGUUUGUGAUCUACAAUUUAACAAACAAAUACUCCCUCCGUCCAUUUAUUGGGUUCGCCUUAACCCUCCGCGUAAUGACCAAGGAGCCGCAAAGGCACGCCCGCUUUGCAUUUAAUCGCUGCUCUGGUGAAACCGUUGCACUUCCCCACUAAAACGUCCGCUAAAACGUCAUUAGCCCGGCCGCGCGCCCGUUAUCGCGCUCUUUAGAAGGCAGCACCGCGCGGUCAGGGAAGGAAAAUUUCCAUACUCUGUGACCCCGCGCCCAUGCACUGUCUGGCGCCACAAUCACCUGCCAAAUUCAGCGGCCCAAAAUCAAAAAUUUCGCACUUUCUUCUAUUGCCGCCUACACCAAAAGAAAUCAAUCUUUCAACGCCCACCAUCUAGCAAAUUCGUUUUCACGUUGCCAUGGCCUAUAUAAGUUGCGUUGGAGGAUCACUACGUCCAGGCAAUCCCAGAAUCUCCUUCCCUCACUACGUGCAGCAACUCGGCGCGGCGGCGUUCAGCCACUCGGGGCCGUGGUGUUCUGUUGUGGAAACCUAGCAGCGCUAACGGGAGGAAACGGAGGGGGUAUUUGACGCAACGGAAGGAUGACGCGCAUCUAAUGCCGGGUUACGAACGAGGAGUCGCGAGCGCAUGGGAGGACGUGAAACCGUGGUCCCCUCUCUUAAACGAAGCCGACUCUUGGAAAAUUUUUUUUGCUUAAACGAACCCAAUAAAUGGACGGAGGGAGUAUUAAUAUUUUCAAUUCAACUUGAUAGAAUAUUAUUCUAACACAUUGAUGGAAUAAACUAAACAUCAUUAGAAAAGGGCUACCGAUGGUAUACAAAAGGAGUAACCAACGUUUACAAAGUGGUCUCAUGAAGAGACAAACAUAUACCUCCAAAGAUAAACCACAAUGACAAACUCCAAACAAGCUGCACCAUAGCCUCUAGUCUUGCUGUCCAGGUGGAGUGGGGUCCGGCGCCCGAGCCUUGAAGGGGUCGGGCGAGACGGAACUUACGUCCGAGGCCCUGAGGGGUCGGGCGAGUCGGAACUUACGUCCGAGGCCCUGAGGGGUCGGGCGAGUCGAAUGAGCUGGGGCCCGUACCCCGGUGAUUGUGGUUAGUAUGCUUUGUUUUUUGCGUUUUUUAUUGCUCUGAUUUGGGUAUCCCUUUUUAUGGUACCAACAUGUAUAUUGUGCACUACUUGAUUUACUUUUGGUUGCAUCAACAAAUAUUGCUAUCUAGAACUUACCUGAAUUCAGGCUCUAGUGGGGCAACAUAAACGACAAGAUUGUGCUAGCGAUCAGUGCUCAAACAUGGUCUUGCUUCAAGAGGGGAGCAGCUGAGAGUAAACAAGCAACAUUGCACAAAUUUAGCUCUCACACCACCAUUCAUCAGCUCCAUUAAUUAGUACAAGGCACAUCACAGAGUAGAGCUUUACGCAAAAGCAAUGUUACACAAAACAGGAGGAAAGACCACAUUUGUAUAUCAAAUACUUGAGCACAAAAAGAAAAUCAUACCAAAAUCACCGAAGAAAAGGUGAUGAAGUCUAACAGCACCGGCGUUUUCCUUGUUGGUGGAUAGAUUGUUGUUUAAAGGGUAUAUAUAUAUAUAUAUAUAUAUAUAUAUAUAUAAUAAUUGGGUUUUCCUAUUUUAGGUGGGAGGGGGG
rnacentral:lncRNA from 1 species